AAGUUGUGAGAGCUGCUGCUGCGAGAGUUGCUGCUGUUGUUGAAUCUGAGGGUGCUGAUGUUGAAUCUGUGGAUGUUGUUGUUGAAUCUGAGGAUGCUGUUGUUGCUGACCGGGUACUUGCAUUUGUUGCUGCUGUUGCUGACCCGGUACUUGCAUUUGUUGCUGCUGUUGCUGACCGGGAACUUGCAUGUGUUGUUGCUGACCGCCUACUUGAAUUUGUUGCUGCUGUUGCUGACCAGGAACUUGCAUGUGUUGUUGCUGACCGCCUACUUGAAUUUGUUGCUGUUGUAGCUGUUGCAUUUGCUGCUGCUGCUGCUGCUGCUGUUGCUGACCACCUACUUGUGGCUUAAACACAACCAUAUCCUGAACCGAUGGUAGAUUUAGCUUUAACAAAAACCAGGUUGUAAGAAGGUUACAAUGCCGAGCCACAAACUCAAUUUGGAGUACCACCACAGGCCUCCAUUUCAGAAAGAAGUUAAAACAGAAGUUGCAGGAUAUGCAGGGAACCUUCAGAACUAAAAGCACCUUAUACAGACUGGAAAACGAUCCCCACAAAAUUUUCACAAAAUAAAAGCUCCAUUUUCCAGGUUUCUUUUAGUAAUGAAGGUACCUCACAUAUUUGUUGUGGAUUUAGCUCAGAGUUGGUGGCUAUUACUUUAUAUUGGCAAAAAACUAAUAAUAAGGAAUUACAAUCCGCGGUAAUAAGAAUGGUCUAACUAAUAACAAGCUCACCCCUGGAAACAGCAUUCCAAUCAAGCGGCAUGCUUUGUCUGAAACAGAGAGCAGUAGUGUCUGAGAGGGCAAUUGGAUCACUGCACACUGAAAAAGUGGGCAAUCAGCUUUUUGAGAAGAUAACAAACUUAUCAGAAUAGUCCUCGGUUUCAUGUUCACAUUCAAAGGAAAACUAUUGCAGGUGGUCAAAUAAAAUAGAAGAACUAGCUUUUGAUGCUGAAGUCUCACAUGGAUGAUACCAGAAUCAAGAAUUACCCCACUUCAAGCCAAGAGAGCCAAUUAAAUGCAUAAAUUUAGUUUAACACAGCAUUUAGAUGUUCUUGAGUUUAAACAGAUAAUUAACUAAGUUCAUAUGAGAAUGUCACACAGAAUCUAAGGAAGUACUCUGCCAGAUCAGAAUUUACAGAUAAUCAAGUGGUAAUCCAAGAUGCUUACAUUAAUAUAUAUAACAGAAGACAAUGAUUAGGCAAGUGGGUAAGGACCUUUGAGGGAUAAAGUGGAAGCGGCAAGAAAUUGGAUAGCAAAUUAGCAAUGAGGACAAUUUUUGAGUCUCGAGGGAAAAAGUGGUAAGGUAAAAUAAAGAGAGUAGACAGCUUACAAGUUUCUUCUCUUGCAAUUGCCCAAGAAACCCAUGCUGAUUCAUUGCCCGAAAAACUAAAAAGUCUGCCUUUCCAACAUAUUGCCUGAAUUAUAAAUAUUGAUGAAGUCAAGAAAACUGAGGAAUAUAACAUCAGGAGGAAAAUAUUACACAGAAAAAUAAAGGAGGGAAUGUUUUCACUAAAUUGUAAUUACUUGUUAUUCAUGUGGUCCUGAGAUAUGAGCCUCACUAUUUGCAUUGUUGGUGGCCAGUUAGCUGCAAGCCUGAGGAGUGAAAUAAUGCACAUCAUUAAAUAUACGCCAAUGACACAUUUUACCAUAGUCAUGAGAUUAAGAUUUUAUUGUGCACUAAAGCACUAAUCAAUUAAGCCCAACUAAAGAGUUCUGAUCAAAAUACAUUCAACCUCAUGCCACUAUUCUUACAGCAUGUCAAGAUAUUAGGAUUCUAAGAAUGAAGGUAACUAAAUUUUUAUUUUAAUAAAAGAAAAAGCCGUCUGCUUUGAUAAGUUAGAAAUAUUAAUAGUCAUAGACCUCUUUUUCUACAUAAAAGAAUUAAAGUUAAAAUAGAAACUUUAAACCAUUGACUACAUUCCAUUAACAUCUAUUUGAAACAAAAAGAAGAAAGAGUACACUCCCGACUUACGUCUCAGAAGCUGAAGCACUCCUGUAACCCUGGCAAAAUCAGAAAGCAUUUGUGGAGUUAACAAAUAAUUAACUGCUAAAAUUGUAAAAGAUAACUAAGAGAAAUAUAAAUAAUCCCAUGUGGUUAGGCCCUAAACAUGCCUCAUGCUCUGUGGUUUAAUUCAGGAUGCUCACACCCUUAUGGUUAUCAAACUGUCUAUAAAAAUAGAUGUCAUUGAUAGCACACUUGAAAUAACUAUUUAUGGAUUGUUCAGUGUUUUCGGCAAUUUUUGUUCUCUCUCCUCCUCCGACAAAUAUAUUAAAACUCAAACCAAAUGCAUAAUACUUUUGAAUUCAAAUCACUCUGAAGCACAAUCACAAGGAAACAUAGAGAACUUUUUUCAGAAAAAUUUAAGUUCAACAUAAAUAACUAUGGUUAUCCAUGACAGCACAUUGGCUUGAUUCAAUUUAAGUUCAACAUAAAUAACUAUGGUUAUCCAUGACAGCACAUUGGCUUGAUUCAAUGGCAAUUUGGAAUUUCCCUCUCUGGUGAUAGUUUAUCAGUGGUGUUUUGGGUGAAGAGUCACACACAUGAUGGUCAGAUGGUCAGAUGGUUUACCAAUUUAUAUGGAAACAUACUGAAAAUCCUCAUGUGCCAGAGUCACACACAUGCUCCACUUUUCUCUCAAAAAUAAUGAUUUUGUGCAAUGCAAGAAACCACAGACGUAAGAGUAUCACAAAAUAAACCACAGUUUCCAUGUCAUCCAACGAGGCAACUGAGAACGAACCUCCAAUCUAGUGAUAAACACAGGCUGCCCUUGUCUCUGCCCAGAUAAAUUUCCCUGCAUGUAUUUUGAUCAUUCAAGUAUGAGUGAUUGCAGAAUACCACAGUAAAACAGGACCAACCAUCUUUAAAACUUUCCUGACAUUCUAGCUUAAAAAGUUACCACCAAAAGUUUGAAAAUCCAACCAUAUUUUUUUAAAAGACCUACCUCCCAGACUUUCACAUAUUUGGAUUGUGCAGAUGCCAAAGCACUUGAUGUCUGUUGUGAAAACGGCACAUUAGAUGCUGAAUUAUUGUUUGCACCAAGUGACUGCAUCCCAGAUUGCACCUGUUGAGCCAUUCCUGGAGUAGGAAUCAUUGUACCAGUUCCAGAAGAGGCACCUGUUGAACCAAGGGCACUCAUCAUGUUCGGGUUCAUGCCAAUUCCACUUUGAACCAUUUGCGGUCCCGAGAGAUUUCCUUGGCUCAUACCAGGCACAGCUUGACCCAUACUAACACCACCUUGGAGGUUGCUCAUUGGUUGUGACAUCCCAAGGUUAUUGUUGCCAGAGACAUUAGAGGUACCUGAAGUGAAUGAAUUAAGACCUGGGUUCUGCGCAACCUGUGUAAGAGUGCCGGACCCUGAAGAUGUAAAUACAUUUUGAGCAGCACCAACUGAAGAUGCCAUUCCACUAGAUAUCAUAUUUGAUACAUGCAUGGCCAUAGGAUUUUGACCCAUAGUUGGGAGUCCCAUAGAAGUUCCUCCAGUUAAGGCUGCUGCGUUCAUCACACGUGCCUGAGAGAUGUUAUUGAGGAUGCUACCUACAGGACGCGAGGGAUGUGUCACACCACUCACUACAGGUUUCAAAUCUGGCACAUUAUCAUUGUUUGUGGCCAUCUCUUGAGAAGCAGAAGAUGGUGAAGAAGUCUGCAAGCUCGGGACUCCUUGGGAAGGAGGACGGACAGAUGGAAUGUGUGCAAAAGAAGGUCCCAUGGAACUUACGGUACUUGGCUCCUAAACAAAUCAUAUCAAAACUUUAUAACUAUACGUGUGCAAUUUAAAGCAGUAUACCAGACCAAAGUGAACAUCUCUUUCCUUUGCACAAAGCAUAAAAGUUCAAGAGUGCAUAAGAAAUCUUACAACUUUUACAGUAGCAGGAGGCACAUUUCCAACAGAAAUUGGUUGCCGAUUCAUAACAGGUCCAUUCACUAAUUUGAAAAAGAGGAAAGAAAAAGAAAGGACAAGUUAGCAAACAAGCAGGAUAACCAAGAAUUAACCAUGAAAAAUUAUGAACAGCCUAACCAUAACAAACUUAAGUGAUUAAUUCAAGCAAGACAGCCUAUUAUACUAAGAUUUGUAAUUCAAACCUUACUAUGUUCAUUUGAGGGGUAUGACGAGACAAUUACUCUUAUAAAAGAUAAAAUAGAAAUUGCGACUACACCUUAUUGACACUGAAACAUUGAUAAUUUCAACAAAAAAAAAGUCAAAUAGAUAAGUGAAACCGAAUCAUUAAGUACUUUCAUUAACAGAAAAAAAAAAAAAAAAAAACCAAAUAUUUUGCAGUGGAAAAAGGGACAACAUAUUGACUGCAAAACCAACCAGAGGGCAUAGAAGUUGGAGGCGGCCCAGUAACUGAAGCAACAGGAGCUAUGUCCAUUUUUACAGGACUCUGAUUUGAGGGCAAAGUUGUAAUUCCUGGACGACUUAAAGUAGCACGGGCCUCCAUAAAAUUCUCUGAGAUUAAAACAAGAAAGCGGGGAUUUUUCGCAUUAUCAAUUGGUGGAUCUGCCGCUCUAGGGUUGCGCUUUCCCUGCAUUGGCAAAGUGCUCACUAUCACACCAACUUCUUCUAGUGAUCUUAAGCCAUAGGAAAUAAAAUAUUCAGUCUGGCAAUAAUACUAUCACCUCCCUUUUGUAUUGUCGAACAUUCUUUGCAGCUUUAUUAAUAUAAUUAGACAGUGGUUCCAUGCAUAUGAAUACCAGAAAAAACUAUAUUUUUUGUUCAAGACAGUCUAAGUGGUUGAUUUUAGAAUUCAACAACAUAAAGGGUUAAAGCUCAACAGAGCACCAAGGAAAAUAAAGGAAGUUACUUUAAUGUUGAUUUAGCAAGAUAUACAAAAGGUCAAAAGCUUAAUACAUACAUACAUACAUACAUACAUACAUACAUACAUACAUAUAUAUAUAUAUAUAUAUAUAUUAUAUAUAAUAUUUAAGGAUAAGAGAUAAGAGAUGGAACAUACCGCAUUGUAUAUUGCUCUGAGCUCAGGUAGCUGUAUUGGACAAAUGACUGACAGUGAAACAGAGCUCUGGAUGAAAAAGUAAGGGCUCAUUACUGAUAAUUUUCAACCUUCACGAGGAACCCAUCACAAGGAAAGGAACAGACAUCAUUAAAAUGGGAAUAAACAAAAACACUACCUGUGGAAAUGAUUUAGCAACAGCCUCAGCAUCAUAAAGACGAUUUUCUGUUUGUGCAUCAAUAUUUUCAUUUUGCUCCAAAUUUUGAAUUUGUGGCCGAUACACUGGUGUGGGCAGAGGGUGAGGUUUACUUGCAGCAAUAAGAACACAAUGCUUCUGACAAUCCACAUUUUGUUGAUUUUGGCUUCCAUUUUGAACUGUAGGGAACAUCUGUGUUUUACAUCAGAAGAAUAGUAAAUGUUAAGUUUAACAUGCGACUAAGAAAUGCAUUUGAACUCAAAAGUACUUAGACGGCUUUGAACAGCAUACCAUUAGAGCUUCCGAAAGCCCUUCCGCAAUUGCAGCAUCACUAAAACCACCCCCAGAAAAGGGUAUAGCUGAAAGCCUAUGUAAGAAGAGAUCCACAUCCCUUGUCCAGCCACUCCGUUGUACCAGGCAACCUUGAUGAAAGGUUGUACAAUUAUUUCAAAAUAUUCAUAUAUAUAUAUAUAUAUAUAUAUAUAUUGAGCAAAUGCCAGUUACAGUAAUGACAUGGAAUGCCUACAUAUCAUCUUGGUGAAUUGGGUUCAUAAGAAACAAGGUGUGAUACUAGUUAAGUGGUAAUUUACCAGGAAAAAAAAAAAAACUUCCAUUUCCAGCCAUAAGUUGUCCUACUAAGGGGAACUGGAAACGUAUAACUUAAUGUAGCUCGCUGUAUUUCCACAUAAAGUUCGCAAAACAAGUUUUUCAGACUUCCAGGUGGUGUUAUGUACAAAGAGCCACUACGUUACAAUAAAGUCUACUAAUUUUAGAAUUUAACUUAAAGCUAGUAAAAAUCCACCACUUCAAAGGGAAUAAUUCCACAAAGCAUGUUAAAAUCACCAAGAAAUCAUUUGCAAACCUUGAACAACAUCCACCUUAACUUUCAAACAAUUAUUUGACUUAGUAUAAGAUUGAACCCUGUUUACAAAGAACUAUUUGACUUAGUGUAAGAUUGAAUCCUGUUAGUAGGAGGAUGGAGGACUAGCAAGUCUUCCCCUACAAAAAGUAAAAUUCCUGAAGAAUUUGUAGUCAACCUCGUACUGCAAUAAUAAAUUAACAACACAAGUCAUACAUCCGAAAACUAGGAAUAAGAAGAACAAAAUUACAUACCACAAUAAGAUCCAUGAGUAUUGAACGUGACCAGGGAGAGCUCAACAGUAGAAGUCGACAGCUUCUGCAUCUCAAAAGCCAAAUUACAUAAUAAGAAAAAGACUACCAAGCUAGAAGUCUUACAGACGGAACUAAUAAUGUUGUUGCCAGUGAAACGUAAGAAUGGUUGUCUAUGGUUUGAUAAUAGUUGAUGUAGUGUACACAAAUGGUAAUCAAAUUAUUACAUGCAUGCUAUUAACAUCUAGUCAAAGAAGGCACAACCACCUACACGAAAACAUGUUUAAAUAUGUAAUGAACAAUUAACAGUUCGGACAAAUGACUUCUGAUGGAUAAUGAUAAACCUAAAGUAAUGGAAAAGGGACAUACCUGCCCACUUGGCUCGUUUCCACAGAAACUCCUGCAGGAAAAAGAUAAAUCAGAUGUGACUUAUUUAUAGAGUAGUGCAUAAAAUCCCAUGCAUGUUAAUGAAAAAUCAAUGACAAACUUCAUAUUUGGUUCUAUGUACAGGAAUGUAUUAGAUGAAGAUUGUUAAUAUUCCAAGUAUGAACUUUUGCUGAAGUUGUUAUAGCUAGGCACUUAUUAACUUUUAGAAUUCUCCAGGACACUAUAAAAAUUUCAUGUGCAAUGAAAUGAAACUGUAAAUGGGAAAUCAUGAUAAAACCUCAUCUUUUAUACUAUACUUGGGGGAGUUAAUUAAACCCCAGGAGAAAUAUAUGAUUCAACAGGACAAAUUCAUGAGAACUUACCUUGUAACCUACAUCAUAAGUAGAAACCAGAAAGUAACGUGUGAAAUCAAAGCCGGUCAUAGACAAGGAGGGAGAAAGAACAGAAGCUAGCUACAACACAGCACAAAGGAAGAAAGAUAGAAAAAUUACUAAGAACUUAAUCGCGAACCUUACGAUCUUCUCUAAAUAAUCUUUAAAAAUGAGUUCCCAGAAGGGACCCAUGGCUGCAGUCCCUUCAACAGUGAUGAUCAGUUGUUUCUCAGCCAUUAAGGUUUUCUCUGUGAUAGGAUUGGGGAUCUACUUUUAAAGAUCACAUUGACGACCUCGGGCAUAUCUAUUAGUCUCAUUGAUGAGCACGUAUGUACGUUUUUCUCUAGUUAUUGACACGUCUGCACGAAACUCUGUAAGGUAAAAACUAACCAUCCACCAUCGACCACGUAACCUAUACGUUACUGAUUAUAGUAUUACAAUAACAAAAAUAAUAUUAAGAAUUUAAAUAAUUAAUAAUAAUGUGUAAAAAUACACUUCAGACAUCGUAGUAUAGAGAAUGCUCACUCCAAUAAGCUGGAGCAUGAUACUCUGCUUCAAGAUGUCUAAGGAGUUAUCCACUCUCUCCUUUGCUUGACCACCGGAGGAAAACCAAUUAUUCAAUGUCAAACCCAAAACGUAAAUAUGACAGAUUUAGCCUAUAAGUACUGUAUUUGUUCCUAAAGCAGAAGGUUCUGUAAUAAGUUAAUAGCAAACACGGGAUAAUAACUGAAAGUUACCUCAUUAAAAUCGCUUGUAUUGUCUGCAUAAUUUGGAAGGAAGUUAAUCUUGAUACAUGGAAUGUAUCUAUCUGACCAAUUAUAGGACUUAUUUUCCAUCACAUGCCAACAAGCAACAAAUCAUCGCAUGGAGCUCAUCACCGCGGAUAGCUUCUAACAAAACUGACGAGAACUAACUAAUUAUUUAUAAAUCAAUCAAAAUCCAGUUUCCAUCAGGAUUAUAUGAAAUAAAACUUUGUACAUAGUAGAAAUAUAGCAAGGCUGCCUACGGUUUCACGGUACGAGGGUACAGAAAAAUCGGACCUUUCUACAACUACAACACACUAAACUAGUUUUAUCAGAUUCUUUAGUAGCUGACGAAAGAUUCAAAAUUGAACCAAAACUGUAUAGUUUUUCCAGCUAACAAACAACUACUCCGCAUAACCAAUUUCAAAGUGAAAAGUGAAAUUGCAAUCAAAUGUCGAAUCCGAGCCACCAAACGCAGCCGAAACAAGCUAAUUAAUCACAUAAACAAGCCACAUAAAAUUCUCGCCCGAUAACAAACACCAAAACCCUAAAAUCACAAUGCAACAAAAAAUCUAAAAAAGAAAUCAACAAAAGAAUAAAUUCAGCUAAGAAACUCCCUACCUGAUGAUCUUAUCAAGGUAAUCGGAGACGACGGUUGCCCAGCAGGGCCCCAUGGCGGCGGUGCCUUCAACGGCCACGAUCAGCUGCUUCUCCGCCAUCGUACAGCUAGAAAGGACCGUAGAGAAAUUUCAACUGCUUUUGCUGGCUGUGCGGCGGAAAUGUGUGAGAGUCCAAAGCUUGGAAACGGUGGUAAGUGCACGAAACGCAGCGUUCUGGACGACAAAGACGAGUAUUUUAAAUGGGAGUCGAUACCCCGCUGCUGCCGCGACUGGUUUGGGGUUUCUUCCGGUGGCGCAAAAUUAAAGGCCGAGCCCACAGCCUUUUUUAAGUUUUUUUUUUUUUUUUUUUUUUGAAAAACUGGAAAUAUUCAUAACCAGGGCUGGAACCAAAAACACAGGGAGACCUAUCAGGAGGCAACAACCAAAGUACACAAACAGAUGGCAAUGAAGAGGGGAACAAAGGCUAAAGAUGUUGCACCAAGUGUGAAGCGUCACCCUUUCACUACCCAAAAACAAUUACGGAGGACAGGGGAGGCCAUCCUUGUUCAAAAUAUGCACCAGCGAAUAUGGGGGAUGGUUAAUCCAAGUAUAACCACACAUCUCCGUGUUACUUCUCGACGCCAAACGGUCCAUCGCCAAAUUGACUGAUCUCGAAACCCAAUACCAACGAUACAUCUAAAAGGAAUCCUGAAGCCUUAAAAUUCUAGUCAACGUAGGAUAAGUCUCUCAGCUGCAGAGGACAAAUCAUUACCAAAAAUGUUCUCUUUAGAAUCCGAUUCAACAAUAAUUAUGUGCAAGCCCAGAGAAUGAGCAAAUUCACAUCCAAACAAAAUGGCAAGAGCUUCUGCCACAACAACACACGGAGCAGAAAUCAUCAGUUUCCACACCCCAACAAACCUUCCAUCAGUGCAUCUGGCCACAAUCCCCACACAGCCCUCAGCCGAAGUAACAUCCCAGCUCGCAUCAACAUUGAGCUUGGUAAACAUGGAACAGGGCAGAGAUCAACGAACCAAACCCAAAGGGGAAACCUGCUGAGGUAGAAAGUUCCUCAAAGGUGGAUAAGAAGCCUUCAAAAAAGUUGUUGUCGAAGAGGAGAUAGACAUAAUGACUUUUUGUGGGUUGAUAGCCGUUUGGUUAUAGAGAUUGUUGAUAAUCAAAAUCGGAGGUCUUGGAACAACGUAAAUCCGUCCGUGAAUCUGCAAGAAAUGUAAAUAACACAAGAGUUAUCGUGGUUUACCCCAAGGCUUGGGCUACGUCCACACUGAUUGUAUUUCUCUGACUGUAUGUAUGGAUUACAAGGGUGAGGGGGAGUCCCCCCAGAGAAAGAGAGUGUUAUUGUGUUUGUGAGGGUAUUGCCCUCUGUUGGGUUCACUAAGUCCCCUUUGUGAAAGGAGAAAAGUCCCUUUUUAUAGAAUAAGGGGCUCCUCCUUUUACAUAAUCAUAUGGGCUGGGUAAUGAGGCCAAAUGUAUCAAAGUCUGAGGCCCAAUAUGUGUGGUACCAACAGUAGUCCCCCAAGUUUUCAGUCAAGAGAGUCUUUUGGCUGGAGACUUCAAAUCCAAUCCAUGUAUGGGCCGAAGUGGCUAGAUGCCUUGAACCAGUACUCAACCCAAGGCAAUGCUCAACAUAAAGCAAUAUUCGGCUAGAGGUAUCACACGUUACGAGAUUGCUCGGUUGGAGGCGAUGCUCGUUGUGAGGCUGCUCGGCUAAAGGCUAUACGCGACGAGGCAUUUGCUCGGUUGGAGGCGAUGCUAAUUGCGAGACGGCUUGCUAGAGGCUAUGUUCGCUGCGAGACGGCUCGGUUCGUGGUACUCCUCAUUGCAAGUAUCUAUUUUAUGUCGACAUGCACUCAGUAUGAGUUAAUUCUCGACAUGACUCGGGUCCGCUUGUCGGGUUCGCAUAUUGGGUCUAUGUGUCGGAUCCGUGGAUCGAGUCCGCAAGUCGAGUCUUUGAGUUGGGGUCAUAUGUAUGGUCAUUGAUUUGGGGCUAUCUAUAGGGUUAUCGAGUUGGGACUAUCUGUAAGGUCAUCGAGUUGGGUCCGGGCACAUAAGUGUCCCAAUAAGCGAAUGUCCGUGCAAGUGGGUGUCCGGUCAGACAAGAGAUCACCAUGAGCACAUGGCUCAUCAAUCUAUAAGUUGGUAGAUUUCGUUAAUCAGCAAUAAUGUUGAUCAGUGGACCUAGUUGCUCAAUAAUUCCUAACAAUAAAUGACAGUAUAAGUACGACCGUAUAAUGAAUAAAUCAAAUUGACAAAGUUUGUCAAGGCAAAAUAUUGUACUAUGUGCCUUCUAUACAUAAAUAAUUUAUUCAGUCGUGUGGUAAAUAAUUUGUAUCAUAUAUCAACAAUAUAUUAGGUAUUGCCUAAAUGUGUGUGUAUAUAUAUAUAUAUAUAUAUAAUCAUAUGUUGUUUAAUAAAUCAUAUGUUGUAUAAAUCAAUAACGUGGUAUAAAUAAUGUGAUAUCAGAAAUAAUAUUAUUUAAUCAUAAGUCAUCAUAACAUAAAAAAUAAUAGGAUAUUAAAUAAACAAUGAUAUUCGGAAAACAUUAUGAUGUGAAAAGUAAAGCUCUUUUUUCUUUUUCUUUUUCCUUUUGUCCCUUCAUGAUGAAGGUUUUAUGGCACUAUCAUAUAUAUAUAUAUAUAUAUAUAUAUAUAUAUAUAUAUAUAUAUAUGUGUGUGUGUGUGUGUGUGUGUGUGUAUGUAUAUACAUAUAUUUAUCAUGAGGUGCCGCAUUAUAUGCACAUAUCACGAAAGCAAAUAAUAUAUAGCUAAAUGUGCACUAAAAUAUAAAUUUGAUAGAAAUGAUGUGGUCUCCUCAAAGAAUAUGCAUACUGUAAAGCAUCCCCAACACAAAAUAAUAAUAAACUAUUUAAAUAAACAAAUGAUAAGUUGGAGAAAAGUAAGAGGAUCUUCCUCCUUAGAAAUUAUAAGUUGCUUUCAUUUGGGAUCCUCAUCUUCUCCAAUUGGGUAUAUAUAUAUAUAUAUAUAUAUAUAUAUAUAUAUAUUUUAACAAAGGGAUAGUGGGUAAACAUUAUACCAUGUACCCUUUUUCUUUCUGCCAUGAAUGAUUACAGAUAUAACACUAAAAUAUUGAAAACAUGAGUGAUUAAAGAUAAGUAGCAGAACAUCAUAGAAUGCAUGUGAUGAUAAAAAAUAAUUAAAGGUAAAUAAUAAUAAAAUAAUAAUAAGGAACCCUUAUCUUCCUCCUGGGUCUUCCAGCUUUCUCAGAAAGUGGAAAGUGGACAUGGUGGUAUUCACAGGAGGUGGGAUCCCUGUGUCUGGAAUGAUUAAAGAUAGAUAAGUGUGAUAGAAAUGAUUGCCUUCGCUGCUUUUAGUGAAGGCUUUUUCAACAAAGUGGGAAAAUGCACUCCCCCUCCUAAAAUACAGACACCUUCCGUCGCACAGCACCAACACCGAGUCCAGUUCUUAUAGGCGAUGCUGAGCAGGUUGUGCUCCUCCACCGUCAGCUCGGUCCCGGCGGCGAUGGAGCCGACAACAAGCUUAUCCAUGAAGCUCAUCAUCUCUUCGUACCGCUCGGCCUGCUCGGCGAGUUUUGCCAGGUACACGUACUGUUCUCUGCUGAGGUUUUCAGGGACAGCAGAAGCCAUUGAAGCAGGCGAAUCAAGCGUUCUGCAUCCUCCCCGACAUGGGCACGAACGACAUCGCGGCCUGUGGAAGGAUCAUAGAUGGCAAGGUUGACAUAGGAAUAAGUGGACUGAAAGAGGCCGCAGACCAAAGGCAGACAGAGUCAGGGGCCUUCCAUGUCUUGAGAAUGCAGUAGAUGUCAACGAGGUGUUCAAGGUGUUGUGCUUGUGCCAGCAAUUGCCAACUCAAACUGAGCGCAGCACGGCCACCAGAGAAGGCAUAUUUUUGUCAACAGACUCCAGCUCACCUCGGAGGAAGAGGCAAGUCGAGUUCAAGAGGCUUUGGAGGUAGGUGCCACCAUGGCUGCUCUCCAACGACGGUGUUGGUGUCUUGGAUGGCAUUGAUUUGAUUAAUUAUAGCUGGCUGGCGGUGUUUGGUUUUUUGUACCUAAAAUCUAAGUAGUAAACUCAAAUAUAAGAGAGAGAGAGGGUAUAAAGAGACUGUGACUGUGACUGUUUUUUUUUUUAUUUCUUUUUGUUUUGGUUUUUGGGUUUCUGCAGAUUCACGAUAGAUAUUGUGGUGAGGUUUCACGGUGGUGAGAUAAAAAAAUGAAAGUCGUUUCCCACAAAUUGCACCAAAUGUUGAUGCACAAAACCGGAGGUCUUGGAACAACGUAAAUCCGACCGUGAAUAUGCAAGAAAUGUAAAUAACACAAGAGUUAUCGUGGUUCACCCUAAGGUUUGGGCUACGUCCACACUGAUUGUAUUUCUCUAACUGUAUGUAUGGAUUACAAGGGUGAAAGGGAGUCCCCCAGAAAAAGAUAGUGUUGUUGUAUUUGUGAGGGUAUUGCCCUCUGUUGGGUUCAAUAAGGGGCUCCUCCUUUUACAUAAUCAUAUGGGCUAGGUAAUGAGGCCCAAUGUAUCAAAGUAUGAGACCCAAUAUGUGUGGUACUGUUGAUCCUAAAAACUACAAAGCUUACGUAGCGCGCAGGCCGAGUAAUCUAUAAGCUAACUACGUCAUUCGAUGAAUGCGGGGCGUGCCAACUCGUUGCCCGAGCUUGACCGAGGAGUAAAUUUGUUGAUGUUGCGUUGGGUACGCGGCUGACUUCUGCGUCUUGCGAUUGCGACCGAAGAAGGAACACGUCUCGGCCUCUUGGGUUCUCGAACCUGAAGACAAGGCUACUAUUCUUACAAAGUUCACGAAUCGUCGUCGUUGGAUUCGGUCACAGUGAUGGUAUUCGUCAGAGUAAACUCACGCCGAAUCGACACCAAAGUGUAAGAGCACAAAUACUCGAAGCAGAUAUGAGUCUUAAUAAUGAACGUGGUUCGACCGUCUGAACGUCGAACUCUAAAUCCUACUUGAGAGUAUCCAAUCAUCAAAUAACUCGGCGUACAAUGUGCUGAGCUCGGUGGGCUGUAACACCUCGCUUCGUCGAAAAGGUUAACGAGAUGACCUCAAUCAAUAAGGAUUCAGAAAUCAUUCUCAACCGAGACUUGGAUAGGUAACCAACCGUCUUCGUCGUAGUGCUGUUGAUGCCAACAGAAGAUACUACGAGAUCGACUGAUUCUACGGCGACAGAGCUAUCUAUGUCGACCGAAGAUAUCAUUGGUUGCUUUCACAGUGUUGUUGAUGCCAACGGAAGAUGUGUCAGCGAAAAGAGAAAAUAAAAAAAAAUCUCAAGUUGUUGAGAGAGUUUGCGCAUGGCAGUUGUGUGUUGAAUUGGAAAGGGCUCGAACGAUGCACAGCCUCCUCUAUUUAUAGCACCGAAUACCUUCAAGGUCGAGUUAAAAACCUACCAAGAUUAGGACUUCUUCUCCUAAUCGAACUCCAACUCGACCAGUCUUUUUUUUCACUAUACUUUUGAACCCAGUCCUAUAUUGAGCCGGAUUCACUUCCAGGUUGUUAAUCUCGUCGAAACUCCUCAUUGCACCAGGAUUCGACUCGUCUUGCAGCAUGACUUAACCUACCCAGGUUUGGAAGCCCACGAACCAAACAAUCCAUGGUAACUUUGUCGUAUGGCCUUCCGGGCAGAGAAUAAUUCUAUACUCGGUCCAAACUGAUAUUUUGGGCCCAAACAGGUACCAACAGAGAUAAUUACACCGAGCCUUCCAAAUAAACCAACAAGUGAAGGCAACAUAAGACAAUGACCAAAUAGUUGCAUCCUUAGAUCCUAAAGGUGAAUUUAAAAAAAAGAAAACCAGUUCGCCAACAUCGAGAAACCAGUUUUAUCCACCACGUAAUAAACAGUCAAUAUUAAGACCAACUCCAAUGGUGGGCUAAAAGCUAAAUUUCCCCAUUUAUUCCCCUUCCCAAACACCACCCAACCCAUGCUAAAAUAUCGAGCUAAAAGCCAAAUGCCAAAGCUAGGCCAAAUUCCCCCAUAUGCGAGUGGACUUGCUAGCACUUGGGCCAGUCUCGGCCCGCCCACGCUCCAACGCACCCCAUGCGGUUGGCUUGCAAGGGUUUCCCGACAGGGGUGAGCCCCGCUGUCAGCUGUGUGUCGGCCAACAUUAUCAUCCUAACAACUAUAGUUUUAAUCCAAGGGCUGGGCUCAGUGGCGGAUCUACAGAGGGACCUGGGAGGUCCCAGGACCCUCCGGCAAUCCUAAAAUGCUACUAUAAAUUUUCUGGGGGACCCCUCAAAGCAGGAUCUGUGCUGUCAUGUGCUGCAGGUUGCAGCUUGCAAUGGAGAAGAAGACAGGGGGAAGAAAAGAAGACAGGGGGAAGAAGAAAGAACAGGGCCUAAAGGCCUUUUAAAAAAUUGGUCCAAAACGCAGUGUUUUGGCCAAUUUGUUUAAAUUGUUUUUUUUUUUUUUUUUAAAACCCAACCGUUUGUCCAUGAUUCCCGAGACCCUUUAACGCCUAGCCCACAUGAUGGGCCAUCCUGAGUCACUCUUCCUUCCCCACCCCCCAGUUCCUGCUUUUCCAUUCCCCCUAAUCCCCAUCUUUCUUAUAUUCACCCAAAACCAAAACCCUAAAUUUCUAAUCCCACCCAAUCCCAUAUUAUAAUUAUAUUACUCCAAUAUUAUACCUCCACUUGUUUCAAUUCUCCAAGCCACCACUAUUUGGUUCAAAAUUCAAGUAAGUUUUUUGGUAUUAAUCUAAUCUCAAUUAAAUUAUAUUAGAUAUUGGUGGAGAUUUUUAGUCUAUUAUUGAUAUGAUUGUUGAUAUGUUUUAUGUUUGUAUACUCAUUUUAUCAUUGAAAUUUAGAUGGAUUUUUUGUUUAUUGGUUGAUUGGUAUAUGUUUUGUGUUUUUGGUUAAAUGUGUAGUUUAGAAAUAAGAAAUAUGGAAAGAUUUUUCAAGCCAAAGCCAAUAGCACUAUCUACUUGUUCGGGUAGUUUGAGCUCAAGACAAAAUGAGCGUGACAUUGAUUUUAAUAGUCUUGAGAGAGACUUGGGAAAAAGAAUUCGAAUGAAGGACUAUCCUUCUAAUAUUCAAGAUGAGGUCCGAAUAGCAUAUUUGCAAAUGGGACCUUGUAGGCCUACAAAGUAUGAGUUCCCAUACACUUUGCAUGCAAAGAAAAAGCAACGAUUUGUUGUUUCGUGGUUUGAAGAAUAUGAUUGGUUGGAGUAUAGUAUAUCUAAAGAUGCGGCAUUUUGUCUUCAUUGCUAUCUCUUUAAAAUCAACUUUUCACAAUUAGGAAGCGAUGCCUUCACUGGGGUAGGCUUUAAGAAAUGGAAGAAUGCAAGAGAAUGUUUUGACAAGCAUGUUGGUCCUAUUGGUAGUUUCCAUAAUAAAGCUAGAGAAGCGGCUAGUUAUUUAAUGAACCAAAAGACACAUAUUGAAGCAGUUGUGAUCAAAUAGUCAGAAGAAGAGUGUAUGAAAUAUCGUCUUUAUUUGAAUGCAUCAAUAGAUUGCACUAGUUCUUGUUGCGACAAGUCCGUCCUUUUUGUGGCCACGAUGAAAGUGACACUUCGAAUAAUAGGGGGAAUUAUUUAGAACUCUUGCAAUUCCUUGCGGAUCAUGAUGAGAAAAUAAAGGAAGUUGUGUUGGAAAAUGCUCCGAGAAAUCUCAACCUAAUAGCUCAUUCAAUUCAAAAAGAUAUUGUCAAUUCAUGUGCCUUCGAAACUAUUAAGGCUAUUAUGAAAGAAGUGAAAGAAAGUAAAUUCUUUUAUAUAAUGGUAUGAAUCACGUGAUAUUUCAACAAAGGAGCAAAUGGUAGUGAUUUUGCGUUAUGUGGACAACAAAGGUCAAGUAAUUGAAAGGUUCGUGGGAGUCAAACAUGUUACUGAAACAACUUCAAGUAAACUAAAGGAGUCCAUUGAUGAGUUCUUGAAACUACAUGAUUUGAGCUACUCCAACCUACGAAGUCAAGGUUAUGAUUGAGCGAGUAAUAUGAGAGGUGAGUUCAAUGGCCUUAAAAAAAAAAUUUGGAUGAAGAAAGUUGUGCAUUCUAUGUUCAUUGUUUUGCUCAUCAACUACAAUUAGCUUUUGUUGCUGUAGCAAAGAAAAACUCCGAUGUUGGCGCUUUUUUCACAUUGACUAAUAAUUUGGUGAAUGUUGUUGGAUGCUCAUGUAAGCGUCAUGAUGCACUUAGAGAGAAACAACAAGAAAAUCUCAUGAAAGCUAUUGAAAAUGAUUGUCUUGAAACGGGGCAAGGGUUAAAUCAAGAAACUAGUCUCAAACGUGCUGGGAAUACACGGUGGAAUUCACAUUAUGGUGCUUUGAUUAGUUUGAUUACAAUGUUCUCAUCUGUGGUGGAUGUGCUUGACAUGAUUGUUGAAGAUUGCUACAAUGAUAGUGCUGGUGAAGCAAAAGGUUAUUAAAAGAUUUACAAUCUUUUGAGUUUGUGUUCCUCCUCUUUUUGAUGAAAUCCAUAUUAGGAGUUACAAAUGAUUUGUCACAAGCAUUACAAAAAAAGAAGAUCAAGAGAUUGUGAAUGCAAUGGCUUUAGUCAAGACAUGUAAAGAACAACUACGUUGCAUGAGGAAUGAUGAAAAUUUUGAUCUUUUGGUUGAUAAAGUAUCAUCUUUUUGUGUUGAACAUGAAAUUGAGAUGCCUAAUAUGGAUGAUUUAUAUGUCAUUCAAGGGAAGUCAUUGCGUAAGGCUCCAAGAAAGACCAAUCGUCAUCAUUACAAAGUGGAGCUCUUUUUUGAGGUCAUUGAUUUCCAACUUACAGAAUUAGAUGAUCGCUUCACUGAAGGUAAUACCGAAUUGCUUAUUUGCUUGGCAUGUUUGAGUCUGAAUGAUUCAUUUGUAGCUUUUGAUAAAGAGAAGCUUGUUCGCCUUGCUCAGAUGUAUCCUAAAGAUUUCAUGGAUCGAGAUAAAUUGGCACUUCAAGAUCAACUUGAUAUUUACAUUCAUUUUGUGCGUUCUGAUAAUGAUUUUUCUCAAUUGCGGGGGAUUAAUGAGCUUGCUAAGAAAAUGGUGGAGAAAGGGUUGCAUCGAACGUUUGCAUAUGUAUAUUUGCUUGUUCAGUUGGCUUUGAUUUUACCGGUUGCAACCGCUUCAGUGGAAAGGGCAUUUUCCGCUAUGAAUAUCAUUAAGGGUCCAUUUCGCAACAAAAUGGGAGAUCAAUGGUUGAGUGACAGCUUAAUUGUUUACAUUGAGAAAUAUGUUUUUUCAUGUAUUGGUAAUGAAGCUAUCAUGGAACAUUUUCAGACUAUGAAACCUCAUCGUGGACGCUUGAAUUAGGAUUUUAUAGCUUGUAAUGUUGUUUUGCACAUGAUUUUUGAAUGAAAUGUAUUAUAUUUAACUUUUCAAUGUUAUUUUUGUCUAUAAAUUUUUUGACCUUUAUUAUUAGGAUCCCCCAAGUUUAAAAUCCUGGAUCCGCCACUGGCUGGGCUUUAAGGACCGUUGGUUGAUCCAACGGUCCAUAUUCAAAUUUAAUUUUUUUAGAAUAUGUUAUUUUAAAAUACAUUGAAUCCAAUGGCUGAUAUUGAAUAUAAUCAAAUCUAACGGUAAAAAAAAGAUCUAAUGGCCCAAAUUUAAAUUUAACGGCUAAAAUAAUUAAAAAAAUUAUUUAACUCAAAAUUCACCAAAAAACUCUAUAAAUACCUAUGUAUUUGUUCAAACAUCCACCCAAAACUCAAUUUUCUCCUACAAUUCUACCAAUUUAUCUUUCUACCAUUUAUUUCCAUUUCCAAAUUGUUCAACAUGGCAAUAGAGCAUAUUAGAGGUCGUAAUUGAACAUGUGAGGAAGAUGUUGCUUUAUGUUUGGCAUGAGUUUCUGUUAGCGAAGAUGGUGCAGUUGACACAAAUCCAAAUAAGAAGGUUUUGUGGUAUAAAAUCAUUGCAAAGUUUCAAGAAAACUGCAAUUGCGGCGGGCGGGAUGGUAGUGGUGUUUAUGAUCAGUGAAAGACUAUCAACAAAGCAUGCACUUUAUGGAAGGGAAGCAUUGAGAUAGCCGUGAUUGGCAUGGUUAGUGGAAAGAGCGCCACAUAAAUUAUGAGUUUUGUUCUUGAUAUUUUAUUUGUCACGUACAUAAUAUUAUUUUGCAACUAAUUAUUUUUAUGUAUUUUUUGCAUAGGGUGACAAAGCAAUGGAAAUUUACAAGACAAGAGUAACACUAAAAAAUCAAGUUUUUAAGUUGCAACAUGCUUGAGACGUCCUCAAGGAUUGUCCGAGGUGGGGAACCGAUGCAGACCAAUAAUGGGGAAGAUUAUUUCAACAUGAAGCCACACAGACAAAUGCCGGAGAUGAAGGUGUCGAUGAAAUGACCCCAUCUCCUUUUUUUGCAAGGCCCCCGAGAAGAGAUAAGCAAAAGGAAGCAAAGAGAAAAGGGAAGUCGCAAGAUUCGAUGAGUGGACACUUUGCUACCGGAAUUGCAAAAUUGAACGAAACUCAUAGCGCUUGCCAAGAAGAAACGGGCCAAAUGCGUUUGCAAAUGAAGGAAAUCUCAAAUAGGGAGUAAGAUAGAUUUGAAAUUAAUUUCAUGAUGGAAGACCUCAGUAAAUACAUUCCAGAGAGGAAGAAGUUCUUACGUGGUAAGCAAAAGAAAAUUUUACGAAAGUCUGCUUCAAGGAGUAUAUUUCAAAAUGAUGAAUCCUCUGAACCUUAUAUCCCAAGUCCUGUACGAAGUCCAUCACAAGUGAAGAUGGUGGAUAUGAUUAUUAAGUUUAUGUAGUGUAUGAAUUAUGUGUUUUAUUAAUUAAGUUUAUGUAGUUCAUUAAUUAUGUGGUUUAUGAAUUAUCGGUUGUAUUAAGUUUAUCUGGUUUAUGUACUUUAUUAAAUUUAUGUCUUAUUAAUUAUUGUUUCUAUUAAUCUAGAUGCCUUCAAUAAUUAUUGUACUUAUUAUUCCACACUUUGAUGUAUAAUAAAUGCUUUCAAUAAUUCAAUCUCCAUUCAAUAAUUUAUCCAACGUACUAAACAAAAUACUUUGCACAAUAAGACACUUAAAUUUAUUAUUAGAAAAUAACAACAUAGUACACUUAAAAUUAUUACAUAAAUGCUUAACCAACAUCAUCAAUGUUCACCUUCUCAUCAGUUGAGUCUGUAGAGCACCCAUUAGCUAGCAUGCAAAAAGCAGAUGUGAGCUUCUGAUGAAGUGAUAGACAUUGUCAGCUUGCGACAUCUAUCAUACUUGCAAAGUAGUGGUCAUGAAAGUUCAGCUUCAGCGUCGAACAAUUCUGCAUCCUCAAUCUCAAUCCUUGCUUGGUUUUGUGCCAUAUGCAUUGCCAUGCUACCCCUUAUUCUAUCACCCAUUGAAAGUUGAAAGAUUGGUGAAUAUAGAGGAUUUUUAGGAACAAAAAUUCAUUGAAAAUUGAAAGAUUGGUGAAUAUAUAGGAUGAUUGAAGGUUGAAAGGUUGUAUGAUCAACUAAUAUUGGACGUAUGUUUAUAUAGAGGAUGAUUGAUGAAAGUUGAACGGUUGGUGAAAGUUGAAAAUUUGGUGUUGAACAGUUGGUGAAUUGAAAAUUUGGUGUUGAACGGUUGGUGAAUUGAAAGUUAGCCUAGGGUUGAAAGAUUGGUGAAAGUUGAAGGCUUGCUUUAUGGAAAAUUUAGUGAUUUUUUAAUAUUUAUCGGAAUUUAAAUAUUUUUAUAUUAAAAUGUUCAUAAAAUUAAUUUACGAUAGUCUAUAUAUUUAUUUAUUUUUUAAAAUUUAACUGAAGAAAAAAAUAGCCUAAGUUCAUUAUUUAAUAAUUAUGAGCUAAAAUUUUAGGUCAGAAGGGUUUGAGCAGAAAAGUUGUUUCUGAGCUAAAAAUGUUGGCUUUUAACCCAACCAUUGGAGUUGAUCUAAUAGGGUAACCCUUGAACUAUUUUGUAUUGACCAAUUUGCACCCUACCUUUAAGAUUUUGAAUUUCUGACCACUUUUUUUUUUGUUGAUUUCUUUUUAAUUUCUAAACAAAAACAAAUGAAUGAGUGAAAAUUGUUAAUUUAGAUUUUGAUAUAAUCAUGGAGUGCAACACACUUAUUUGGGUUGGUUGUGUCAUCUUUGCUUGAUCUUUCUUUUAUUUCCUUCUAUUUUGAAUCAAUAUAAGUGGAGAAAUCAAGCAUUUUGCUUUGAAGAAUAAUAUCGAAAAAAAUCUCAAGAAUGGCAAGGAUAAUUUUCUACUAUAUCGGGAAAGUAUCAAGGAAAAAAAGGUAAUUUUCAGCUAUGAUGAGAAAAUCUCAAAAGUAUGAGAGGAUCCGAAUUUUAAUUUGAUAACAAAACUGAAGUUUAAUAUUCUAUUUUAAACUAAUCUAAAUUAUAAUAUGGAUAUUUAAAUUAAAAAAUAUAUUCGCUUCGGCCAAUGCAACUACCACUGAUCUAAAAAAGAAGUAAUUUUGGUUUCCUUCUUUUGGGUAAUGCAAAGACCCAAAAUUAGAAUCAUAAUACAAAAAAAUAAAUAUGCAUUUAUUCCCGAAAUUAGAAAAAAAAAAAGUAAUUAUUAAUCAAAUUUCAUGUUCAUGUGGGUGAACCCGUGGCAAGUGGCAGCAUAAAAUCCAUUUGAAUUUGAGGAAUUUAAUUUAAAUUAAUAAUGAAGUAAUCAACUUUGCACUUCAAUCGCUCUCCAAAUUCGCGGGAACACCAUGGCAGCCGCCGCUCAGGGCAGCUCUCUUCUCUGCUCCUGCCGCAGCAGACCAUGCACAACCAGAACAACCCUAUCCCCUUUCGGUCCCUAUCCCUUUCUCUCUCCUCUCACCCCCAUUGGCGCAAGCUCCAAACAGUUGAAGCUUUCGAAUUCCAGGUUCUCUUUCUCCUCUAUCUCUAUAUAGGGUUUCUAGGUGAAUUUGAGAAAUGAAUUGUCAAUUAAUUUACAUAUUUGCAGGACUGGUAGGGUUGUUUCUGCUGUGGUUUCUGAGGAGAACGCAAUUCAAUCAAGUUUCUCUGGCACCGAUGGGUUCAAGCUCACUUAUUUGGAGGUGGGUUUUCAAUUUUCUUAUUGGUACUUCUUAAAUUUGAUUACUUUUGGGGAUUUUUUUUUACUUGAAUAAAUGUUUACUUUUAGGGGAAUAGUUGGUUGUGGGAUGUGGGUGGGGUGAAAAUACUGGUGGAUCCAAUCUUGGUGGGUAAUUUGGAUUUUGGAAUCCCCUGGCUUUAUGAUGCUGCGAAGAAGUUUUUGAAGAAUUUCCAGGUACUCCUUUAGCUUCGAAAUCAAUUUUUUGAAGCAAAUUUGCCUUCGAUUUUCCUUUUUAAUUACGCAUAUGUUGCCAUUAUUUUGUAGAAUGUUGUGAAGUUGAUAGGCCUGUUUUGAUUGGGUUUGCAACUUUAGUGCAGUUAAGUGAUAUUCCAGAAGUUGAUUGCUUGCUUAUUACACAAAGUCUUGAUGAUCACUGCCAUUUGAAGACAUUAAAGCCCCUCUCCGAAAAGUACCCGAAUCUUAGAGUAAUAGCUACACCAAAUGCUAAGGCCUUGUUGGAUCCCCUUUUCAGCAAUGUGAGUUUGAAACUAAUGUUUUGUUUAAGGCUGCAGCUUCUUGAAUGUUAAUUUUGUUUUUAUUUUAAAUUUUUUAAUAUACGCUGUUUAUCCAGGUUAGGCAUGAACAAUCUCUACAGUCACCACCAAAGAAACAACGAUGCACUUAAAUAAGCAAUGCCUUGUUUCUUAAAAACUAGUGUAGUUUUUAUAAUUGGGGUAUAUAAUCCGGCUGCUGUGUUGGGUUUAUUGUGCAUCUGUUCCCUCUUAAUUUUUGGUUAAUACAUGUGCUACUAAGAUGGUGGACAUUACUACACAAAUUCUAUUCCUAAAUUUUACCUUUCGCAACAACUGAAGUUACUGAACCUUACUGUCAUUACUUCAACUUGGCUCAAUUGUUCCUGAAAAUUGCAAUGCUGGCAUGCAAGAUAUUCCCAAAGCCGUAGAUGAAGUCGCAUUCCGUGUUUCUAUUUGAGAUUUACACUAAUUUUGUUUAGGUCACAUAUCUAGAACCUGGCCAGAGCUCCAUUAUUGAAGCAGGAAAUGGUUCUACAGUCAAAGUUCAGGCCACUGCAGGGCCAGUUCUAGGUCCUCCUUGGCAGCGCCCCGAAAAUGGGUAAGGUGUCAUUUUUCUUAUUGCGAUUGUAACACUAGUGAAUUCCAUUGGCAAGGAAUGAAAUAAAAAGGAAUGAAGUUAAUGGAAAAUUCUUCUUGAUUGAUUGAAUUAAUAAUUACAACAGAGAGAGCAUAUAAAGCUUUUGCUAAUUACAAUGAAGUCCCUAACCAUCUUUACUAAUUACAAUUACAAGUGUAAACAAACUUCUUAAUGACUGAACUUAAAUUGUUGACUGUAUUGGAUGGCUUGGCUUGUAGAUUUUCCUCUUUAUGAAACAGUUCCUUGUAAUAUGUUCUUUAGUCUUUGGUUAAAUGGAUAUUAACGAGAUGUUAUAAUAUGUGGACCAGAUAUCUUGUCAUUUAUCCAGAAGGGAAAUCUACACUUUACUAUGAACCCCAUUGUGUAUACAAUACAAGUUCACUCGAGAAGGAAAGAGCUAACAUUAUUAUCACACCGGUCAUAAAGCAGCUUCUGCCUAAAUUUACCUUGGUCUCUGGACAAGAAGAUGCAGUUCGACUUGCAAAGCUGCUGAAUGCCAAGUACAGAUUCUUUAUACCUUAAUACUAACAUAUACAUAAAGAUGGUUUUACUAGACACAUAUCAACGUCUUUGUUUUACAUUUUGUAGGUUCAUUGUCCCGAUGACAAAUGGGGACUUGGAUGCCAAGGGGCUUCUUGCUAGUUUAGUUUCGGCUGAAGGAACAAUCGAAUCAUUCAAGGUUGUUUUCUUCUUCUCACGGUUUUUUCUACGGUGAAGUAUUAAGAUUUCUUUGUGCAAUAUUAUCACAAUUGAAGUUGUGGUUAUUAAAUGCAGGAACUUUUGUCCAAGGAAUUACCAGAUGCACAGGUACUGCAGCCUACUCCUGGUGUGCCGCUAGAAAUCCCGCUACCUCCAAAUCUUCCGUAAUAUGUUUUCUGCAGAAGAUAUACAGACACUGUAGCUCACUGAAAAUAUGUACACAUCUCAUCAAACUCGUAAUUUGUAAAUGUCUGUUUAUUUUAUUGAUACCAUUUGUUCACUUUUAAUCUGUAUUCAAAAGCAACUCCAAGUAGGCUUGGCCUCUGAGUUACAUAUGAGAAGCUGGUUCACUUGAACAAUAUUCCAUUUUGGAAUAGUUAUUGGGACAUCGGAGGCACAAAUAUUUGUAAGGCCCACUUAGCUAGUGGUAGAGGCAUGCCACUUAAUAAAAUGACAGACAUGCUUUCCAAUUAGCUAUUCCGUUUAGUAAAUUUUUUUUUUUUUCAAUAUUGAAGGGAGGGUUUCUUUAGUUCACAUUAAAAGUACAAAUUUAAGUUACAUAUCUGAGUAAAAGCCGUUAAAUUAUUUAACUUAGUGCUGGUUUGAGAAUGAUGUGUUUUGAAAAAAAACUGAUUCUGUUGUGCUGUGAGAAUAAACAGCUGUGAAAUAAAACUAUAGAGUGUUUGGUAAAUUUUUUUGUAAAAGUGUUUAUGGAAAAAAAAAACGGUAUUAUAAUGUUUGGUAAAUUUUUAUGUAAAACAGCUGUGAUUAUAUGAAAUAACAAAAAAACGGCAUCGAGUAGUUUCUCCCACUACUGAACUAGACUUUCCAAAAACCAAAAACAUCUCUCUAGACGUCUCCCACACAACCCCAAUUUUCUCAGUUUUUAUAUUUUUUGCUCCGUCUUCUUCUUUUUUAUUUUCUGCUCCGUCUCUUCUUUUUUAUUUUCUGCUCCAUUCCUCAAUCUCUCUCGCAUGUCAUUCCUCAAUCUCUCUCGCAUGUCAUCUGAUUUAAGGAGCUAAGAAAAUCUACUCGUAACCCUGCAGCUGCUGAAGAAAUCAAAGAUUUUGAGGGAAACCCAAAAUCCGAAAAGAGGGAAAGAAAUGAGAAAAAUGCAGAGAACCUGGUUUGGGGUUGAAGACGUGGUUGGGGGAGAGAGGGAUUCUCCCGCAAAUCGCAGUCUCCAUGAAUCGAUCUUUCUUUUUUCUUGUGCUGCUGCUUCUGCUGCAAUGCGUCGUGCGAUUUUAUUUAUUUAGUUACAGGAAUUUUCUGUUUUGGUUUAAACAACCGAAAUAACAAGAAAAAGAUCGAACAACUGGUGGACUCCUGUGCUCUGUCUGGUGGGACUUCUGGUUUUCGCAAUCCAUAAGACGGCGUCGUCUUGACCCUACCAAGUACGAACACUGAAAAUAAUUUUUGUCAAAUUAUAAAUCCAAUUUCUUCACCAAAAUAAAUGAAUAAAUACAUAAAUAAAUCCAAUUUAAAAUGAAAAUCCGAAAUGAGCGGUGGGUUAGGCAUCUCCAAUGUACUAGUUCAGUUUCAUUAACGCAAUUUAUAGUUAAUGUAAUUUGGGUCUUGAAUUUUUAUUUUCAGUCAGUUUAUACUUUAUACUUAUAAAAAUAAGUUAAUGUGAGCAUUCUGUCGACUUGUUAAGAUUUUAUUUAUUUUAUGAAAUCCUAUAAGUUGACAAAAGACUUCACAAUGACUUAUUUUAUCAAGCACUAAACUUUAGGGGUGUGAUAUCCACACAUCAUUUUUUACUUCUCACACAUUCUUCUAAGUUUCGGCCGUUAGAUCGGGUGAAUUGAAAAAGAUCAAAGAGUAGACAUUAAUAAAGAGUGUGUGAGAAGUAAAAAGAAGUACGUGGAUAGCACACCCCAAAAUUUAUUGUAACUCUUGACUAUUAAAUUUUUGAUCGUACAUUCAACCCUCAAUUUAUUAUUAGUUUCAUGUAUAAGUUAUAACGGAACAUAUUAGAUUUUUCGCAAUUUUGACACUAGGUGAAAAUGCAGAGAGCAAAAAAACGUAACUGUCCUUUUUUAAGUUUUGCUCUCACGGCCACUUUCGUCUCUCACUUCAUCUGUGUCUGUAGGUCUCCCCCUUUGAACUCUUCUCGAUUAGUUAUUCAAAUUCCAGUUAUUUAACCAUGACCGUCAGGAAAAAAAAAAAAAAGAGGAUUUCCAAGUUAAAGAAAGCAGGAAAGAAGAAAGCUGCCGAUCCGUUUACGAAAUAUGAAGAAAGAUUGGUACGACAUCAAUGCCCCUCGUCUGUGGUUCUAUAACAACAACGUGGGUAAAACUCUGGUCUCCCGUACUCAGGGCACCAAGAGUGCUUCCGGAGCACUCAAACAUCGACUUUCGGAGGUCUCAUAAACUUUUGGGGGAUGAAUUUCACUAUGGACAAGCUGAGGUCCUUGGUAAGGAAAUGGCAGACUUUGAUGGAAGCUCACGUAGAUGUGAAGACGACAGACAAUUAUACUUUAAGGAUGUUCUGCAUUGGCUUCUCUAAGAGACGUCAAAAUUGGGUCGGUAAGCGCUUGAUAACAUUACACAUCAGAAAACACUUCAAGUUCAAUAUUUUAGAAGAAAAAACUAAAUUACCCUACUUAAUCUGCAUGCAACUUUUAGCACGAUUAAUGUGUUUCAGUAUGAAACUUAUAAUUGUUCGGGAUCUUUUUUUCUUUCUUUCUUCUAAUUUACUAAAUAGGUUAAGAAGACCUGCUACGCACCAGCCAGAUUAGGCGGAUCCGCUGCAAGAUGAGGGAGAUCAUGGUCGCGUGGGCGACAACAAGUGAUCUGAAUGACUUUGUCAAAAGGUUGAUGGCUGAAAGUAUAGGUAGAGAUAUUGAGAAGGAGAUGCUGAGCAUCUUUCCUUUACAAAAUGUGUUUAUCCAUAAAGUCAAGAUGUUGAAAGCACCCAAGUUUGAUCUUGACAAGCUGAUGUAUAUUCAUGGUUAUGAAGACCUUGGUGUCAAGGUUGAGAGCCCUGAUCAUCAAGAAGAAACUGCCCUGGAAUAAAACGUAGGACAGUGAUGUUUUGCUUUAAACUAAUCCCAACUGCGGGGAGGAGGAUUCGAACUCAAGUGCAUAAUAGAGCAUAACUAGUCUAGCGAAUGCAGCUAUGCCCAAGUUUAUAGAUAUCAUCGAAGGUUAAUUGUUGCCAGCAUUUUUUUUUAUUUUCUUCUACUUUAAAGUUGCUCGAAUUAUGUUUUGUGAAAUUUCUCUGAGGACAAAGAACCACUUAUUCAUUUCCCGCCAUUUAUGCGGUAUAUGAAUAUGAAUUUUUCAUGACAAUAUAUUAGAUAACACUACUCCAAAAGAGUAUUUUGACUUGAAAUUGCUUAUGGUAAAGCAAAUGCACAACCAGAACCUAGCAUUAAAAAGUAGAAACAAAUGAAAAUGAUACACGAGUUGCUUGGUACGUAGCUUGGCGUUAAAUAUGAUCCACUCUAAUUAAAAGACAGCAUGCUUGAUUAAUUCUUGAAGGAAGAGGAUGACAGAACACUAGUCCUUACUAGUUACUCCGCAACUUGGAUAAUACAUAAUUUUCGUCUGAUUAGUGGCAUAAUAAUCCGCUUAUAUAUCGUUAAUUACGUGUAAAAACGAUAUGUUGAUGCAUCAGCAAUGAUAUUACGAAAACCUCCAACUGUGGAAGCCAACAUGAUGAACACUCCGAUGAAUAUGCAAACCUGUAAACACACACAAUCCUCAUAAAUAAACUUUUUUGUAGCAUGAUGUAUCAAUUUGCGAUAUCGACAACAAGGAACAUUAGAUAUCUUUGGCUUACCCAGUUGACGAGCCAUUGAAUGCUGUAUCUCUUUGGUUUCUUAAUUCUCAGCCACAUUAUACAAGGAAGCUGUUGAAAAAAUGCUCACUUAGUUAAUUUCUUUCUGAUGAUGUAGUUCUGUAAUUUGUGCAAGAAACAAAUUAAGAAAUCAAAUAGAGUGAGAUAGGCUUACAAAGUAUGAAGUGGGGGCAAAACCAAAUCCACCAAAGAAACCAAGAAGGUCUCCAAAGAAAGGGAAGGUGACUCCAACAAAUAAUGUAAAUGCUGCAACAAUAUAGUGAUUAGGAACUUAAUUAGGGUUUAAUCAAGCAGAAAUGACAGAGAUACGGAGACGUAUGGGAAAUGGGAAUCUCACCAACAUAAGCUGAUCUCGUGAUUAGUCUAAGUGCAAUUCCAGGUGGGAAGUUCAUCUUUUUCACCAUCAUCCUCUCAAGCAUGUCAAAAACAGGCAUAGCAUAAACCUGCACACUUUUCAGUCACAUCCUUAAUUUAAUGUAGUUCUAAUAUUAAUGAGAAACACUCAAAGAAUCAAAGCAUAGAUAAAAGCCAUCUCCUAUCAACUGUUAAAGUCGGAGUCACUAAUGGUCGGAUCAGUUCCAAUUAUUUCUUUUCAAAAUAAUGUUUAAAGUGUGUGUUUUUACGAUAGAAAACACUUCUAAUCAUUAUCAUUUAUAUUAGAAGUGCUUUUGUUAUAAAUUUAAAAAAAAAAUUAGAUAAUUCCAAGUGUUUCCAAAACUUUUAUAAAAUAUAUUUGGAAGUGCUUUCUAGAAAAACACUCAAAAAUGCUUUUAAGUUUUUAUGUCAAACGUAAUCAAAAGCAUUUUUAGUUGUCUGCUUUUGUAACUGAGUGCAGAUUUAUACCUGGUAGCUGCCAAUGACAUGGACGACAACCAUUAGGUUAGCAGCAGCAAUGAGCCAUGUAGGUUUUUUAAGAUCUAUGAGCACGUUAUCAUCGACAUCUUGACCAAAGCCCAGUACCCGAUGAGGGCCACCGGGAAAUAGCAAAUUGCGUUGAUAAAGUAGGCUCCUAGAGCACCUUUCCACAUGGGAAUUCUCGACGGCUUCUCAGGCGUCGAUGGAAUUGUGGCUUGGAUUUCAAGCACCACUGCAUGCCCAGCAAAUGCAAACGAGAUUUGACCUAAUGCAUUGAAAACCCUAAACAUGUAAUCUGCAGGGCUUGUUUUCUUGUAUGCAUAGCUCACGUUUUCAACCUGACCUUUGCUUAAGCAACCUGCCCACGCUAUAGUUGAAUAACUGCAAAUUAACAACAAAUUCUAGUUAUUAAGAAAAAUUAUAUAUUAUUUGCCUUCUAAAGUUCUCUUGUUAGGUUUACGAGUAAAUCUUCCGUAGGGUUGUCCUACUAUUGGUAGAACUAGAGCAUGCAUCUCUAUCCAAAUUUUUCUCGAAUUUUAAAAGGAAAAUAUUCACAAAUAAAAUUAGAAGGCACUAAAACAAUAACAUAAAUAUUGUGCAACGUACUAGUGUAUUAUUUGUUUAGUAACUUUCUAGUUUUACUUUUAAUUUAAAAGUUCAUAAGUAGUUGUCACUUAUACGAAUAGUGGAAUAUAUGUGUUAAAAAAUUAAACUUUCUGCCACUUAUAUAAUAACAUGUGGUGUACCACUUGUGUUCCCGUCAUAAUGAAAAUUUUCUCCUUUAACUUGAGUUUGUGUAAAGUACGUAAAAAGGAAUUAAUUUCUGCACACUCCCUCUUCUUUUUUUUCUGUUUUUUUUUUAACAGGUUUUGUUUGGCCUAAAGCAAGUCUUCUAAAUCAGAUUUUCCUUCUCAUGGAAAGUGAAAAUUAAAAUUACUACCUUAGUGACAUGAUAGCUGCUGCUAGAGAAACACCAGCAACAGAGUUGAAAUUGGGGAGCUGGGAAAGAAAGAAAUGAAGGGAACCAAAGAUGACAAUCCAGUACGAUUGCUUGACUGGUGUGCAAUUGGCACAUGCCAUCUCCACAAAUUUCUUUAGACACUUUCCUCCGGUGACCAUGUACACUAUGUCACAACCAACCUGCACAAUCAUUUGUUGCGGAAGCACAAUCCAUGGCCCGAACUUUGGUCCGAAGGCGUGUCGGCCAAGGUCGAUGUAUCGGUCAAACCUAGUUCCCGGAACACAUUCAUGGAGCUGAAUCAUCUGCCACAUUGUGUUCAAGGUCAUGCACCAUGAUAUUACCAGCACCAUUGUCCCUGGACCCCUGAAAAUUAAAGGUAGAAAAAAGUAGGGCUUAUUAGUAUAUUAAUACAAGUACAACUCGUAUAUGUAUUAUUAUCAUGAGUUGGGGUGUUUUGUACCAUCCUAAGAAGGCCAUGGCAUACGGCAGGCUGAGUACACCGGCACCGAUCAUGGCGGUGACUGUGUGAAAGGUGGAGUACCACCAUUUUGCUCGGCGGGCGUUGUCCACCGGCUCCUCCUUCCAUUUGUCGUCUGAAACAACUUCCUGCCAUAGUUUCAAGGACAAGAACGAACAAACAGAAAAAUCAGAGUGGAAUUUGGAAAACGUCGUGUGAAUAAAGAGUGGUGAUGCUCACCUUUGGAGGAGGAGAAGUUGUAACCAUUUUUUUUCUCUUCUUUUGCGAUGAAGACAGAGAAACACUUUCAAUGUGGGAGUUGAUUGGUCGUCAUCAUGCUGUACGUAUAUAGUGGUUUCCUGGCCCGGAAUAUAGGCAGAAAUGUGGGAUAGUACAUUCCAAAACCCCACUCAUGCAUUUAUUUUUAGCUUUUUUUUUUUAACACAGGGACUUGUGCUUUUCCAGUUGAGUGAGAAAUUUUUAGUUGUGACGAAAACAUGAGUGGUACACCACGUGUUUUUAUGUAAGUGGUGGAAAAUUUUACUUUUUAAGUUAUUAACUUUUUAACACACAUAUCCCACUAUUUAUAUAAUGACACGUGGUGUAUCAUCCGUGUGACGGUCACAUUAAAAAAUCUCUCCAGUUGAGCAAUCGUGAAUCAUAUAGGAAAAAGCGGUAAAUAAUUUAGUAAAUUAAGAUGAUAUAACAAAGGGAAAGAGAUCCUUUCCGGAUCUCUUCCUUCACAGUCCAGGGAUCAAUUGAUCCAGAUCCUUGAAAUUUGAUCCACCGGUCAAAAAUUAUUAUAACUUUUAAAAGUUUUUACUAACUUUUUAUUUAUUUAUUUAUUUAUUUAUUUUUACUAACUUCUUUGUUUUUAGCCGUUAAAUCAAAUUUCAAGAGACCGGAUCACUUGAUCCUUAGGCUUUGAAGGGAGAGAUCCGGAGAUAUCUCUUUCCAUAACAAAACCCCUUGUAUGUACUUGGCAAACGAUGUUAAAGUUUUAAACCCUCCACUUAAAAUUAUCUAAAGUGACACGAGCUAAUAUUGCAAACAAGGUUUUACGAGACUUCACAUUUGUCAUACUAGCAAUUAUACACGUUUAUGGUGGCUAAAACUUUUUGGUGAGGAACCUCCAAAAUAUUUUUCGUCGCUGAAGAGGCUUUUUAUAUCUUUAGCGAUUGCUUAUGCAUAUCUAUUUCAUACUAGGAGUUUAUUUUAUUUAGGAGAAAAAUAAGGGAAAAAAAAUGGAGGCAACUGAUAUGAUCACCUGGCCAUGAAACUUUGAAAAAUAAAAAAUAGUAAAAUUAAUUUGUGUUUAAUUUUACUAUAUUGCCAGUGACUUUUAUGUUGGUUAUUUUUCUUUAUUUUGUUGGUAGGGCUAAUUUGAUCAUUUCAAUCUCUUUUGGUUGACAAAUAGAGUUUUGUUAAUAAAUAUUUUAGAUUAUGUGGUUGGAGAGAGGUAUGGAUUGGACUUUCUUAUUAAGUUAGUUUCUUACAUUGAUGAGACCAGUAUGAUAUACGAUCAUGAGACCUAAUACAAGAAAUUUUAUGUCAAAUGGCUCUAAAGAUAACAUGCAACACGUGAGUUUAUAUAUGAAAGAUAUGUUUCUUAAAACGGGCACAAACAAAUUUUUCUCCAAAAUUACUCAAGAUAACUAGGACUGUGGUUUGAUGAUAUACUCCACCCACUUUGAUGCUAUAUACAAAGGAAUCUAAGGACCCCAUUUUGAAAAGCAUUAUUCCAUUAAGCUCCCCAUUUUGACAAGCAUCAUUUCAUAAACCUCCCUUGUCAAUUUUUCUUUACACAAAAAGUUCUUAUGUGCAAUUAUUUAUUUCUAUCCCAAGUUUUGAACCAAUGAUUAAAGAGCUUAGUUGGUGGUGAAUGGAGCCACCUAAAUUGAAUGCGUUGGCAUUAUAAAGAGGGAAUAGUUUGAGGGGUUAAUGAUUAAAGAGCAAGUGAAGGAAUGCUCUUCGUGUAUGGGAGUCGCUGGUGGGGGCUCUUUUUCUUUCUUCUUUUCGAGUGUCCCCUGUGGCUUUGCUAUUUGCAUCCCCAAAAGCCAAUGACGAUUGACUGCUACCCACUUCUUACCACAAAAUAACAAGUAUUAUAUGAUUAUAUCUUGUUUAAUUAAUCUUACACUAAUUCAACAUCAUGCUUAUAUCAUACAACAUGAGUAAUGCUAUUCAUAUUAUGUUUUUAUACCACACUAGGUGGCAUCUGAUGUCAAUAGCCACAUCAUUUGAAAAAUUUGCAAAAUCCGAGGAAAUGAAGGAGAAAGACUUCUCUUAUACCACAAUCAUCAUUUAAUUAACUAGUUUUUCUUAAUUAUUAGUUUAUUAAAUAAUGAACUAAAUUUAAAAAUCUGAUCAAUUCAAAUAAUUUGGCUGUCCACAUCAAAUGCAAUCUAAGGUGGUAUGAAAAUGUGGUACAAAAACUUGGUAUGAAUAGCGUUACGACAAUUGUAGGUUUUAUGACGGUUUUUGUAGAAAUUUGUAAAACCGAUUAAAAACUGCAAGUUAGACACCCAUUAAACCCAUAACGUCCUCCAGAUAGCAAACGAACGAGGGGAGUUUAUAACAGAUGUUGCGAAGACUCGUUAUAGUAGUCAAGGACUAGAUGAAACUCCAAGCAGAUUGACUACCUCCAGACCUUAAAUCCUCAUCUUGAACAAAACCAGCACUUAAUUAAUAAGCAUAUUUAACAGUAAAGCAUCCAUUAGAAGAAGAACCCAAAUGCAGGAAUCACUUAUCGGGCAUAUCCCCUUUAACAUCAGUAGGGUUACUUGUUAGUCCGCCGUACGACAUCGGCACGAAGAACAUUCAAAAGCAUCACAAAUUUCUAUCGAACGCAAGUCAAGUAACUAGCCACAGUUUCAUAAUUUUCAUCUAAAAAGAUAGGCCUCUGAAACUGAUAAAUAAAAGUCCGAUCAUUAGGGGUUACAAUGGCUGAUAGUAAAGUUAUUUAUAUGCGAGUCCCCGAGUGUUUAUAACAAGUUGAAGCUCUUAUUUAACCCAUAAAGCCCCCUCCAGGCAUAUUAGGCCCUUGUGACGAAACCUGUCCCUGUGAAACUAAUUGCGACCGGCCUUGAACAUAAGCUUGAGUCAUCCCCGUCCCAACCAACUGUUGUUGUUGAUGCUGUUGAUGCUGUUGCUGCAAUUGCUGAAGCUGCGGCAGUUGCUGUUGUGAUUGAAGUUGUGAGAGCUGCUGCUGCGAGAGUUGCUGCUGUUGUUGAAUCUGAGGGUGCUGAUGUUGAAUCUGUGGAUGUUGUUGUUGAAUCUGAGGAUGCUGUUGUUGCUGACCGGGUACUUGCAUUUGUUGCUGCUGUUGCUGACCCGGUACUUGCAUUUGUUGCUGCUGUUGCUGACCGGGAACUUGCAUGUGUUGUUGCUGACCGCCUACUUGAAUUUGUUGCUGCUGUUGCUGACCAGGAACUUGCAUGUGUUGUUGCUGACCGCCUACUUGAAUUUGUUGCUGUUGUAGCUGUUGCAUUUGCUGCUGCUGCUGCUGCUGCUGCUGUUGCUGACCACCUACUUGUGGUUUAAACACAACCAUAUCCUGAACCGAUGGUAGAUUUAGCUUUAACAAAAACCAGGUUGUAAGAAGGUUACAAUGCCGAGCCACAAACUCAAUUUGGAGUACCACCACAGGCCUCCAUUUCAGAAAGAAGUUAAAACAGAAGUUGCAGGAUAUGCAGGGAACCUUCAGAACUAAAAGCACCUUAUACAGGCUAGAAAGGUCUUUAACGAUCCCCACAAAAUUUUCGCAAAAUAAAAGGUCCAUUUUCCAGGUUUCUUUUAGUAAUGAAGGUACCUCACAUAUUUGUUGUGGAUUUAGCUCAGAGUUGGUGGCUAUUACUUUAUAUUGGCAAAAAACUAAUAAUAAGGAAUUACAAUCCGCGGUAAUAAGAAUGGUCUAACUAAUAACAAGCUCACCCCUGGAAACAGCAUUCCAAUCAAGCGAUAUGCUUUGUCUGAAACAGAGAGCAGUAGUGUCUGAGAGGGCAAUUGGAUCACUGCACACUGAAAAAGUGGGAAAUCAGCUUUUUGAGAAGAAAAAAAAACAUAUCAGAAUAGUCCUCGGUUUCAUGUUCACAUUCAAAGGAAAACUAUUGCAGGUGGUCAAAUAAAAUAGAAGAACUAGCUUUUGAUGCUGAAGUCUCACAUGGAUGAUACCAGAAUCAAGAAUUACCCCACUUCAAGCCAAGAGAGCCAAUUAAAUGCAUAAAUUUAGUUUAUCACAGCAUUUAGAGGUUCUUGAGUUUAAACAGAUAAUUAACCAAGUUCAUAUGAGAAUGUCACACAGAAUCUAAGGAAGUACUCUGCCAUAUCAGAAUUUACAGAUAAUCAAGUGGUAAUCCAAGAUGCUUAGAUUAAUAUAUAUAACAGAAGACGAUGAUUAGGCAAGUGGGUAAGGACUUUUAAGGGAUAAAGUGGAAGCGGCAAGAAAUUGGAUAGCAAAUUAGCAAUGAGGACAAUUUUUGAGUCUCAAAGGAAAAAGUGGUAAGGUAAAAUAAAGAGAGUAGACAGCUUACAAGUUUCUUCUCUUGCAAUUGCCCAAGAAACCCAUGCUGAUUCAUUGCCCGAAAAACUAAAAAGUCUGCCUUUCCAACAUAUUGCCUGAAUUAUAAAUAUUGAUGAAGUCAAGAAAACUGAGGAAUAUAACAUCAGGAGGAAAAUAUUACACAGAAAAAUAAAGGAGGGAAUGUUUUCACUAAAUUGUAAUUACUUGUUAUUCAUGUGGUCCUGAGAUAUGAGCCUCACUAUUUGCAUUGUUGGUGGCCAGUUCGCCGCAAGCCUGAGGAGUGAAAUAAUGCACAUCAAUAAAUAAACGCCAAUGACACAUUUUACCAUAGUCUGAGAUUAAGAUUUUAUUGUACACUAAAGCACCAACCAAUUAAGGCCAACUAAAGAGUUCUGAUCAAAAUACAUUCAACCUCACGCCACUAUUCUUACAGCAUGUCAAGAUAUUAGGAUUCUAAGAAUGAAGGUAACUAAAUUUUUAUUUUAACCAAAGAAAAAGCCGUCUGCUUUGAUAAGUUAGAAAUAUUAAUAGUCAUAGACCUCUUUUUCUACAUAAAAGAAUUAAAGUUAAAAUAGAAACUUUAAACCAUUGAUUACAUUCCAUUAACAUCUAUUUGAAACAAAAAGAAGAAAGAGUACUCCCGACUUACGUCUCAGAAGCUGAAGCACUCCUGUAACCCUGACAAAAUUAGAAAGCAUUUGUGGAGUCAACAAAUAAUUAACUGCUAAAAUUGUAAAAGAUAACUAAGAGAAAUAUAAAUAAUCCCAUGUCGUUAGGCCCUAAACAUGCCUCAUGCUGUGGUUUAAUUCAGGAUGCUCACACCCUUAUGGUUAUCAAAUUGUCUAUAAAAAUAGAUGCUAUUGAUAGCACACUUGAAAUAACUAUUUAUGGAUUGUUCAGUGUUUUCGGCAAUUUUUGUUCUCUCUCCUCCUCCAACAAAUAUAUUAAAACUCAAACCAAAUGCAUAAUACUUUUGAAUUCAAAUCACUCUGAAGCACAAUCACAAGGAAACAUAGAGAACUUUUUUCAGAAAAAUUUAAGUUCGACAUAAAUAACUAUGGUUAUCCAUGACAGCACAUUGGGUUGAUUCAAUGGCAAUUUGGAAUUUCCCUCUCCGGUGAUAGUUUAUCAGUGGUGUUUUGGGUGAAGAGUAGUUUGUGGAUAUCAAAGAAAUGAUGGUCAGAUGGUUUACCAAUUUAUAUGGAAACAUACUGAAAAUCCUCAUGUGCCAAAGUCACACACAUGCUCCAUUUUUCUCUCAAAAAUAAUGAUUUUGUGCAAUGCAAGAAACCAGACGUAAGAGUAUCACAAAAUAAACCACAGUUUCCAUGUCAUCCAACAAGGCAACGGAGAACGAACCUCCAAUCUAGUGAUAAACACAGGCUGCCCUUGUCUCUGCCCAGAUAAAGCUCCCUGCAUGUAUUUUGAUCAUUCAAGUAUGAGUGAUUGCGGAAUACCACAGUAAAACAGGACCAACCAUCUUUAAAACUUUCGUGAUAUUCUAGCUUAAAAAAGUUACCACCAGAAGUUUGAAAAUCCAACCGUAUUUUUUUAAAAGACCUACCUCCCAGACUUUCACAUAUUUGGAUUGUGCAGAUGCCAGAGCACUUGAUGUCUGUUGUGAAAAUGGCACAUUAGAUGCUGAAUUAUUGUUUGCACCAAGUGACUGCAUCCCAGAUUGCACCUGUUGAGCCAUUCCUGGAGUAGGAAUCAUUGUACCAGUUCCAGAAGAGGCACCUGUUGAACCAAGGGCACUCAUCAUGUUUGGGUUCAUGCCAAUUCCACUUUGAACCAUUUGCGGUCCCGAGAGAUUUCCUUGGCUCAUACCAGGCACAGCUUGACCCAUACUAACACCACCUUGAAGGUUGCUCAUUGGUUGUGACAUCCCAAGGUUAUUGUUGCUCAUUGGUUGUGACAUCCCAAGGUUAUUGUUGCCAGAGACAUUAGAGGUACCUGAAGUGAAUGAAUUAAGACCUGGGUUCUGCGCAACCUGUGUAAGAGUGCCGGACCCGGAAGAUGAAAAUACAUUUUGAGCAGCACCAACUGAAGAUGCCAUUCCACUAGAUAUCAUGUUUGAUACAUGCAUGGCCAUAGGAUUUUGACCCAUAGUUGGGAGUCCCAUAGAAGUUCCUCCAGUUAAGGCUGCUGCGUUCAUCACGCGUGCUUGAGAGAUGUUAUUGAGGAUGCUACCUACAGGACGCGAGGGAUGUGUCACACCACUCACUACAGGUUUCAAAUCUGGCACAUUAUCAUUGUUUGUGGCCAUCUCUUGAGAAGCAGAAGAUGGUGAAGAAGUCUGCAAGCUCGGGACUCCUUGGGAAGGAGGACGGACAGAUGGAAUGUGUGCAAAAGAAGGUCCCAUGGAACUUACAGUGCUUGGCUCCUAAACAAAUCAUAUCAAAACUUUAUGACUAUACGUGUGCAAUUUAAAGCAGUAUACCAGACCAAAGUGAACAUCUCUUUCCUUUGCACAAAGCAUAAAAGUUCAAGAGUGCAUAAGAAAUCUUACAACUUUUACAGUAGCAGGAGGCACAUUUCCAACAGAAAUUGGUUGCCGAUUCAUUACAGGUCCAUUCACUAAUUUGAAAAACAGGAAAGAAAAAGAAAGGAUAAGUCAGCAAACAAGCAGGAUAAGCAAGAAUUAACCAUGAAAAAUUAUGAACAGCCUAGCCAUAACAAACUUAAGUGCUUAAUUCAAACAAGACAGCCUAUUAUACUAAGAUUUGUAAUUCAUUUAACCUUACUAUGUUUAUUUGAGGGGUAUGACAAGACAAUUACUCUUAUAAAAGAUAAAAUAGAAAUUGCGACUACACCUUAUUGAUACUGAAACAUUGAUAAUUUCAACAACAAAAAAGUCAAAUAGAUAAGUGAAACCGAAUCAUUAAGUACUUUCAUUAACAGAAAAAAAAAUGAACCAAAUAUUUUGCACUGGAAAAAGGGACAACAUAUUGACUGCAAAACCAACCAGAGGGCAUAGAAGUUGGAGGCGGCCCAGUAACUGAAGCAACAGGAGCUAUGUCCAUUUUUACAGGACUCUGAUUUGAGUGCAAAGUUGUAAUUCCUGGACGACUUAAAGUAGCACGGGCCUCCAUAAAAUUCUCUGAGAUUAAAACAAGAAAGUGGGGAUUUUUCGCAUUAUCAAUUGGUGGAUCUGCCGCUCUAGGGUUGCGCUUUCCCUGCAUUGGCAAAGUGGUAUCACACCAACUUCUUAUAGUGAUCUUAAGCCAUAGGAAAUAAAAUAUUCAGUCUGGCAAUAAUAUUGUCGCCUCCCUUUGGUAUAGUCGAACAUUCUUUGCAGCUUUAUUAAUAUAAUUAGACAGUGGUUCCAUGCAUAUGAAUACCAGAAAAAACUAUAUUUUUUGUUCAUGACAGUCUAAGUGGUUGAUUUUAGAAUUCAACAACAUAAAGGGUUAAAGCUCAACAGAGCACCAAGGAAAAUAAAGGAAGUUACUUUAAUGUUGAUUGGGCAAGAUAUACAAAAGGUCAAAAGCUUAAUAUAUACAUACAUACAUACAUGCAUAUAUAUAUAUAUAAUAUUUAAGGAUAAGAGAUAAGAGAUGGAACAUACCGCAUUGUAUAUUGCUCUGAGCUCAGGUAGCUCUAUUGGACAAAUGACUGACAGCGAAACAGAGCUCUGGAUGAAAAAGUAAGGGCUCAUUACUGAUAAUUUUCAACCUUCACGAGGAACCCAUCACAAGGAAAGGAACAGACAUUAAACUGGGAAUAAACAAAAAAACUACCUGUGGAAAUGAUUUAGCAACAGCCUCAGCAUCAUAAAGACGAUUUUCUGUUUGUGCAUCAAUAUUUUCAUUUUGCUCCAAAUUUUGAAUUUGUGGCCGAUACACUGGUGUGGGCAGAGGGUGAGGUUUACUCGCAGCAAUAAGAACACAAUGCUUCUGACAAUCCACAUUUUGUUGAUUUUGGCUUCCAUUUUGAACUGUAGGGAACAUCUGUGUUUUACAUCAGAAGAAUUGUAAAUGUUAAGUUUAAAAUGUGACUAAGAAAUGCAUUUGAACUCAAAAGUACUUGGACGGCUUUGAACAGCAUACCAUUAGAGCUUCCGAAAGCCCUUCCGCAAUUGCAGCUUCACUAAAACCACCCCCAGAAAAGGGUAUAGCUGAAAGCCUAUGUAAGAAGAGAUUCACAUCCCUUGUCCAGCCACUCCGUUGUACCAGGCAACCUUGAUGAAAGGUUGUACAAUUAUUUCAAAAUAUUCAUAUAUAUAUAUUGAGCAAAUGCCAGUUACAGUAAUGAGUGGAAUGCCUACAUAUCAUCUUGGUGAAUUGGGUUCAUAAGAAACAAGGUGUGAUACUAGUUAAGUGGUAAUUUACCAGGAAAAAAUAAAAAAAUAAAAACUUCCAUUUCCAGCCAUAAGUUGUCCUACUAAGGGGAACUGGAAACGUAUAACUUAAUGUAGCUCACUGUAUUUCCACAUAAAGUUCGCAAAACAAGUUUUUCAGACUUCCAGGUGGUGUUAUGUACAAAGAGCCACUACGUUACAAUAAAGUCUACUAAUUUUAGAAUUUAACUUAAAGCUAGUAAAAAUCCACCACUUCAAAGGGAAUAAUUCCACAAAGCAUGUUAAAAUCACCAAGAAAUCAUUUGCAAACCUUGAACAACAUCCACCUUAACUUUCAAACAAUUAUUUGACUUAGUAUAAGAUUGAACCCUGUUUACAAAGAACUAUUUGACUUAGUGUAAGAUUGAAUCCUGUUGGUAGGAGGAUGGAGGACUAGCAAGUCUUCCCCUAUAAAAAGUAAAAUUCCUGAAGAAUUUGUAGUCAACCUCGUACUGCAAUAAUAAAUUAACAACACAAGUCAUACAUCCGAAAACUAGGAAUAAGAAGAACAAAAUUACAUACCACAAUAAGAUCCAUGAGUAUUGAACGUGACCAGGGAGAGCUCAACAGUAGAAGUCGACAGCUUCUGCAUCUCAAAAGCCAAAUUACAUAAUAAGAAAAAGACUACCAAGCUAGAAGUCUUACAGAGGGAACUAAUAAUGCUGUUGCCAGUGAAACGUAAGAAUGGUUGUCUGUGGUUUGAUAAAUAGUUGAUGUAGUGUACACAAAUGGUACUCAAAUUAUUACAUGCAUGCUAUUAACAUCUAGUCAAAGAAGGCACAACCACCUACACGAAAACAUGUUUAAAUAUGUAAUGAACAAUUAACAGUUCGGACAAAAUGACUUCUGAUAGAUAAUGAUAAACUUAAAGUAAUGGAAAAGGGACAUACCUGCCCACUUGGCUCGUUUCCACAGAAACUCCUGCAGGAAAAAGAUAAAUCAGAUGUGACUUAUUUAUAGAGUGGUGCAUAAAAUCCCAUGCAUGUUAAUGAAAAAUCAAUGACAAACUUCAUAUAUGGUUCUAUGUACAGGAAUGUAUUUGAUGAAGAUUGUUAAUAUUCCAAGUAUGAACUUUUGCUGAAGUUGUUAUAGCUAGGCACUUAUUAACUUUUAGAAUUCUCAAGGACAGCUGUAUAAAAAUUUCAUGUGCAAUGAAAUGAAACUGUAAAUGGGAAAUCAUGAUAAAACCUCAUCUUUUAUACUAUACUUUGGGGAGUUAAUUAAACCCCAGGAGAAAUAUAUGAUUCAACAGGACAAAUUCAUGAGAACUUACCUUGUAACCUACAUCAUAAGUAGAAACCAGAAAGUAACAUGUGAAAUCAAAGCUGGUCAUAGACAAGGAGGGAGAAAGAACAGAAGCUACAACACAGCACAAAGGAAGAAAGAUAGAAAAAUUACUAAGAACUUAAUCGCGGACCUUACGAUCUUCUCUAAAUAAUCUUUAAAAAUGAGUUCCCAGAAGGGACCCAUGGCUGCAGUCCCUUCAACAGCGAUGAUCAGUAGUUUCUCAGCCAUUAGGGUUUUCUCUGUGAUAGGAUUGGGGAUCCACUUUUAAAGAUCACAUUGACGACCUCGGGCAUAUCUAUUAGUCUCAUUGAUGAGCACGUAUGUACGUUUUUCUCUAGUUAUUGACACGUCUGCAUGAAACUCUGUAAGGUAAAAACUAACCAUCCACCAUCGACCACGUAACCUAUACGUUACUGAUUAUAGUAUUACAAUAACAAAAAUAAUAUUAAGAAUUUAAAUAAUUAAUAAUAAUGUGUAAAAAUACACUUCAGACAUCAUAGUAUAGAGUAUGCUCACUCCAAUAAGCUGGAGCAUGAUACCCUGCUUCAAGAUGUCUAAGGAGUUAUCCACUCUCUCCUUUGCUUGACCACCGGAGGAAAACCAAUUAUAGGACUUAUUUUCCAUCACAUGCCAACAAGCAACAAAUCAUCGGAUGGAGCUCAUCACCGCGAAUAGCUUCUAACAAAACUGAUGAGGACUAACUAAUUAUUUAUAAAUCCAUCAAAAUCCAGUUUCCAUCAGGAUUAUAUGAAAUAAAACUUUGUACGUAGUAGAAAUAUAGCAAGGCUGCCUACGGUUUCACGGUACGAGGGUACAGAAAAAUCGGACAUUUCUACAACACACUAAACUAGUUUUAUCAGAUUCUUUCGUAGCUGACGAAAGAUUCAAAAUUGAACCAAAACUGUAUAGUUUUUCCAGCUAACAAACAACUACUCCGCAUAACCAAUUUCAAAGUGAAAAGUGAAAUUGCAAUCAAAUUUCGAUUCGGAGCCACCAAACGCAGCCGAAACAAGUUAAUUAAUCACAUAAACGAGCCACAGAAAAUUCUCGCCCGAUAACAAACACCAAAACCCUAAAAUCACAAUGCAAAAAAAAUCUAAAAAAGAAAUCAACAAAAGAAUAAAUUCAGCUAAGAAACUCCCUACCUGAUGAUCUUAUCAAGGUAAUCGGAGACGACGGUUGCCCAGCAGGGCCCCAUGGCGGCGGUACCUUCAACGGCCACGAUCAGCUGCUUCUCCGCCAUCGUACCGCUAGAAAGGACCGUGGAGAAAUUUCAACUGCUUUUGCUGGCUGUGCGGCGGAAAUGUGUGAGUUCAAAGCUUGGAAACGGUGGUAAGUGCACGAAACGCAGCGUUCUGGACGACGAAGACCAGUAUUUUAAAUGGGAGUCAAUACCCAGCUGCUGCCGCGACUGGUUUGGGGGUUCUUCCGGUGGCGCAAAAUUAAAGGCCGAGCCCACCGCCUUUUUUUAGUUUUUCUUGUUGGAAGGUGGUAAAACCUCAAUAAACAGUCAUUAUUAAGACCAAAUCCAAUGGUGGGUGAAAAGUCAACUUUCCUUGUUUGGUAAAUCAUCAAAAUGGUUCAUGAGAUUUGCGUAACGUAUCACUUUGAUCCUAAGAUUCCAAAUCGAUAAAAGUGGUCCCUAAGAUUGUCCACCAUCCAUCAUUUUGGUCAUCGUUAAAAACUCUGUUAAGUGUUCCGAAGCUCUUGGCCAAAAGUUUGAACAAUUUUUCAAAGCUUUGUAACUCAAUCGUUUUUUAACCAAAUUCAACCCAUAAUAUAUCAAAAUGAAGAUAGGAAAUUGUAGAAUACCUAUUUCGAAGCCCAAUGGUUGACCGAGAUGGCUGGAAAAUAGCCUCAAAGUUGACUGGUCCGAGUGAAAACUUGAAAAAUCGCCGGAAACUGGAUAAACUUUAAACGAUCAUAACUUCUUCAAUACUCAACGAAAUCAAGUGAUUCAAAAACAAAAAUCAUACUUCUCGACGAGAAUAAGAGAAUGGUACCUUUUUUGAAUGCCAAAUAACCGUGGUUUGGCCGGAAAAUGGCUCAAAAGUGGCUAACUCGAUACCAAUAUAACCACUUUCGAGCCAUUUACCGACCAAAAAACGGUGAUUUAGCCUUCAAAAAGGUAACAUGCUCUUUGUAUCAUCGAGAAGUAUGAUUUUCAUUUUUGAAUCACUUGAUUUCGUUGAGUAUUGAAGAAGUUAUGAACGUUUAAAGUUUACCCUGUUUCCGACGAGUUUUCAAGUUUUCAUUCAGACCAAUCAACUUUGAGGCUAUUUUCCAGCAAUCUCCAGCAACUAUUGGGCUUCAAAAUAGGUAUAAUCUUAUUUUACACUUUCCUAUCUUCAUUUUGAUAUAUUAUGUGUCGAAUUUGGUUAAGAAACGAUUGCGUUACGAAGCUUUGAAAAUUGCCCAAACUUCCAGCCAAGUGCUCUGGGACACUUAACGGAGUUUUUAACGGAAUGACCAAAAUGAUGGAUGGUGGACAAUCUCAGGGACCACUUUUAUCGAUUUGGAAUCUCAAGGACCAAAGUGAUGAGUUAUGUAAAUCUCAUGGACCAUUUUGACGAUUUACCCUUCCCCAUUUAUUCUCCCCCCUCCCCCCCCCCCUAAACACCACAUAACCCAUGCUAAAACAUUAGGCUAAAAGUCAAAUGCCAAAGAUGGGCCAAAUACCCCCUCAUGCAAGUGGACUCGUUAUCACUUAGGCCAGUUUUGGCCCACCCAUACUCCAACGCGCCCCAUGCGGUUGGCUUGCAAGGCUUUCCCGACAGGGGUGAGCCCCACUGUCAACUAUGUGUCGGCUAACAUCAUCAUCCCAACGGCUAUAAUUUUAAUCCAAAUAUUCAUAAGGCCCACUUAGCUAGUAGUAGAGGGAUGCCACUUAAUAAAAUGACAAACAUGCUUACCAAUUAGCUAUUUUGUUUAGUAAAUGUUUUUUUUUCAAUAUUGAAGGGAGGGUUUCUUUAGUUCACAUUAAAAGUACAAAUUUAAGUUACACAUUUGAAUAAAAGCCGUUAAAUUAUUUAACUUAGGGCUGGUUUGGUAUUUGCUUUAAAAAAAAAAACUGAUUCUGCUAUUCUGUGAGAAUAAGCAGCUGUGAAAUAAAGCAGCAGAAUAUUUGGUAAACUUUUUUUGUAAAAGUGUUUAUAGAAAAAGAAAAAAAAAACAGUAUUAUAGUGUUUGGUAAACUUCUAUGUAAAACAGUUGUAACUGUGUGAAAUGACCAAAAAAGGUAUAAUACUAGAUGUGCCAUUAAUUUAAUUUUCUCCAACUACAUCAAGUAGUCUCUCCCAUUACCCCACUACUGAACCAAACUUUCCAAAAACCAAAAACAUCUCUCUAGAAGUCUCCCCCACACCCCCAAUUUUCUCAGUUUUUAUUUUUUUUUUGCUCUGUCUUCUUCUUUUUUAUUUUCUGCUCCGUUCCUUAAUCUCUCUCACAUGUCAUCUGAUUUGUAGUUCAUACAUGGUCUAGCUGCUCGAGGAGUUCAUUAUAUAUAUCGGGCAGGCUCAACGCUUCAGGAUGCUGGUUUCUUUCUUCUUCUGGGACUAAUCAUUUUUUCUUUUUGAUAUUGUAUGGUGUGAAUUUGAUCAUACGAAGUAGUUUCCUGUAUUUAAUUUUGGGUAUUUGGAAUAACUAAGUUUUGGUGUCCGUGUGGGCAAUCUAGGCUCUCCUAAUUUGCAUAAAUACGAAGAUUAGUCGCCUAUAAGCGGUGCAAUAUGGGAAAUUUGGGCAAAUAUGCGAUGCCAAAAUUGAUUAUGGUCCUCGCUGAAAAAGAUGGUGGAUUUCUCGACUGGAUUUUGUAGGCAUGGGAGUGAGAGAGGACAUACAAGAGAUGGAGGAAGGAUAGAGACAGAAACAACGUCCUGGGUAUGGAAUUCAAGGUCAAUAACGGUGAUUGUUGAAGUUGGGAGUGAACGGCGUUGUGGCGGGAUCGACGAGAACGACCUUCCAAUUGAAGUCAAUGACGUUUUCCUGUUGGUAUUAUGUGUAAUUGUUUAAUUGUUUAAUGUCAUUUUGGGGUUUUGAAAGUUUCAUUAAAGGGCUCAGUGCCUCUUGCAAAUUAGGUUUGCGCAUAAGCUGUGGAAGCAAAAAAAGUCGAUUUUUCAAAGCUAGCUUUUGGUGCUUUGAACUUUUAGUUUUUUUUUUCCACACAAAACUGUAGAAAAAAGUUGAAGUUGAAUGUUUACCAAACACAAAAAAGCUUCCAGUUUUUUUUUAUACCCGUUUUUUUUUAAAACACAUCAGUACUAAACAAGUACUUAAAAGGAAUUUAACAACUUUUAUUUAGAUGUGUAACUUAAAUGUGUACAUUUGAUGUGCACUGGAGAAAAAUUAUUGUAAGGUGUGCCAAAGGGAUAUUACAUGUUACACAACUCAAAAUUCACACAAAUAAAGGAUCUUAUAUACACAAUUAAUAAAUCAUACGUUUUUUUUCUUCAUGUUUUGAUAAGUAAUAUGAGUUGGUGAUCAUUACAUUUUUGUAUUAUCUUGUGUCGGUAAGUUUGUGGGUUGACAUGAGAGCAAUUUCACCCGUUGGGCAAAGGCAGCCCAAUUUUAAAGGUACCACUCACUAUAAAUAGUCAUUUCUUUUGUGCAACCUGCUAGUUUUACUAUUGUCAGGGUGGUUACCAUUCACAACUAUGUAUUUUUUUUAAAUUUUUUAACGCAUGAUUAAGUUAUUUAAUAUUUAGCAGACGGGUUAAUUUUUUGUAUUUUUCAUAUAUAUAUAUAUAUUAUUAUUAUUUUUUUAAUUUUAAAACUUUUUUUGCACCAAGUGGCUUAGCACAAAAAAAAUAAAAAUAAAAAAAAUUGUGGCUGACGUCAGCCAUGCUAGUAGGCGGAAGGUCGGGCAUAUCUUGCACGGACAUUGGGUUGGACUUUAGCUUGGCCUAUCACUUGCCCUCUGAUUUUUGGGUUGCUGGAGGCCCUUUUUGAGGUUAAAAGGCAAAUUCAAAAGCCCUUGCCCUUUGACAAUGGGUGCAAUUGCUCUUAAACACAACCCAAACAUAACAAUAAAUAAAUCCGAUCAUAACCCAUCGCCACCUCCAAAAGAAGUCACGAGGUCGAGCCGCCGUCUUCUUUGAUGAAAAUGACAUAAAUUGUUGAAUUUCAGCAGUAAUUACAUAAUGUAGAUGCCGGCGUGUGACGCACUUGAAGCCUCUUUGUCAAAUUCCAUAACUUCAGACCCAGUUUCCAUGAAUUUUACACUUGUAUAAAUAAUAGUUUAUUUGGAAUAAAUUUCCUGUAAAUGUUCAAACUAAUGUGAUCUGCCAGUAAGCAGGUGGUCAUCUACCUAACCGACAUAUCAACACAGAUUAGUGUAUGCAAACCUAAUCUGUUUGUUUGCUUUUGGUAGUUUGCUCUUGUUUAUUCACCUCAUUAAUUUAAUUUAAUUGAAUAACCAAAUAACUUGGCCGGCUAUGUUUGGUCGCUUUUCACUUUUCUUUUUCAUCUUUGUUUCCCCAUUUUUUAAAAAGCUUUGACAGCCUAAAGGAACUAAGACUGCAACUGCAAUAUUCGAUCUUUUGAGCCAAAAAAUUAUCAAGAAAUACUACACAGAGAAUGCAUUUGGACGAGUUGGCGUCCUUCAUCAGGAAAGACGGAGUGCAAUUGGACGAGUUGUUUGUGUCCACAAGGGGACUACAAUAUACAUAUAUGAACAUCUCAGUCGCGGGCAAGUCGAUGAUCAUUGUUCCAAUCGUAGCUACUACCUAAGUUAGAUCCACAUUUUUACAAGACCUACAAGUUCAUAUAUAAUCCCUGCAUCAUAUAAAUAAAUUGAAAAACGUUAACAUACAGUCAUUUAUACGUGUGAGUGAGUAUCAACCGUUGAUAUAUUGUGAGUUCGACUCGCAUUACGAAUCACACCCACUCGCAUGGAGGCCUCAAGCAUUUGCCAAAGAACUUCAUGUAAUGCAUGGGAUGGGGUGGCACCAAGCCUAGUUUACGUACUGUAUAAUAUGAUUAAAGCAUUUUAUACCUCCUGACAAUCCAAAGUCCAAAGAGGUCUCUGAUUCCUUCAUGGUGUUGCUGGCAACCACAUCAGCCAACCAGCCAGCAGAUCAAUGUGGACUUGUGCCCCGAUCGACACGAUUCGACAGCCACCUCAUUUGUAAGAUUCACAUCGAACGGAAUAUUAUUUAGGUGAACGUAAUGUUAUAAGUAACCAAAUAAAGGACAAAUUAAGCUGUUAAAGAUCUAUAUAUGAAAACUGUUGCAGUACUUGUAGAAAUAUGGAAAACAAUAAUAUGAAAUAUGACUUAGAGGUACGAUUUGUGUUUUUUUUAAGGUAUUAUUUGUCUCCAUCUAAUGAGUUUGCUAAAGAAUUAUUGACGAACUACUUCUAAGAUACAAGAAAGUUUAGAAUCUACGAAUAGCAAAAUUCGAAGUAUUCUCUUAGAACUAAUUAAAAAUAAAUUAUGAUGGACAGAAAGAGAGUAAAAGAACUGUUUUGUGAACAAUUUCUAAUUAUACAAUCUGACGGCAAUAGUUAGAUAUUUAUAGAGAAUUAGGCAACCAUUCAUUUUAGUUGAAAGUGUGCAAUGGUAAACUGAAGACAUAUUGCACCGUAUGCACCCAAGAGAGAUGAUAUUCAACCAAUUGAGCAGGGUUAGCAACCGUAUGCCACCUAAUUGAAAGUGUGCAAUGGUAAAAUUUGAGUGUUAUGGUUGCUUGCACUCCACUAUUUAAGAGGAGUGUCAGUAACCUUCAGACUCAAAUUUCUUGUUUUAUCUUUUUGGUUUUGGUUUUCAUUUUCAUCCUGCAAUGUUAUUUGAUGAUUAGAACUUUUUUUGCCACUCUUUAAAGAUCAAUUCUGCUAAAAAUCAACAAAAUAUAAAAUGUUUAACAGUUCAAUUAGCAUUGUUAAGAUUUAAGUGUUUAAUAGAAAAACAUGAUUCAUCUGUUUAUUGAAUAAAUAUUAAACAACCUAUUUCAGAUUUAGUUCAUCUUUUGCGAUGAUCUUUUAAUGAUAACAUAAAAAUUUAGUGGUUAAGUCAUCGUGUAUUAUUGAAUGAUAAGAAGGAGAGUCGAAAAAAACAAAAUAAGAAUGUCUGAACAUUGCAAAAUUAAAAAGCCAGGUGGGUUUGUGCGGCUGCGGCAGCUAAUAGAAAAAUGGGCUUAACACAAGGCUUACCAGAAAGAUAAGUUAUUAUUAUACCUUUUAUAUAAAAAUAUACAAUUGAAAUCUAGUGCAGAAGCAAAAGACUAAUGCGUAUACCUACUUAUUGAGAGAGGAUAAUUUACAUGGUAUAUGUACACUGCGAAACUUACAUACGACUCUAUAAUGUUGGUAAAAUGCACAUCAAAGUAGCAGCAUAUUGUGUCGUAAAGUUUUUCACAUUGGGGCAGGGGGGAGUUGGAUAAUAAUGUACUGGAGUCGAUAUCAAAUGGAAAAUGUAUGUGUAUACCUACCUAUUGAGAGAGGAUAAUGUACAUGUCAUAUGUAUACUGCAAAACUUACAUAUGACUCCAUAAUAUUGGCAAGAGGCACAUCAAAGUAACAGCAUAUUCAUGUCGUAGAGUUUUUCACAUUGGGAGGAGAGGGAGUCGAAUAAUAAUGUUCGCUGGAGUCGAUAUUAAAUGGAAAAUGUAUGCAUGCAUGCCAUGUAAUAUUCAUGCGACUAUAUUAUCAAAUGUUGACACCUAGCAUAUAUCAAUUCUUUCUGUUUCCAUUUGAAAUGUGUUAGGAAGUUGGAAUUCACCAAUCUAUUCAAGCAGGACAACUUCGAAAGAAAAAAAAAACAAAGUUUGCAGUGAUAAUGUAGGAUUAACAUUUGAUCUCUCACUCUCCAGCAUCCACCGUCCAACUGAGAGAGAGAGAGAGAGAGAGAGAGAGAGAGUUUUCUGCAUGAUUCAUGCACGCAAUAACAUAUGAGGAAUUCACCCAAUUAACAAUUGUGCAUGCCUUGGGUAUGGGAAUGGACAAAAGUCGGGUUAAUAUGGAGCAUAUUUUAUAAGGUAAGCAGAAUAUGCUCAAUGUCCUCAUUACAUAUAUCAUCAAAUGAACCAAAAAAUGACUUUAGCCUUGAUUCCUUAACUCUUACCAUUUAAUUUAAUAUACAGCAAGAGGCACUUGGCCUUAGAUUCCCCUGAAGGGACAUUUCUCUUGAAUCUAACUCCCUCUCGAGUAUAUGUCUAGAACAUAGAGUGAUACACUGCAUGUAGAUAUACAACUAGACGAACAUUUGAUAAAAAAAAAAAGUUUUUCACCAAUUAUAUAUUAACAUGUGAUGUCCUACUUCGUGUUCUCAACACAUUAAAAAAUCUCUCCUCUCUCUAGACUUUUCCUUUGACUUAUCACAACCUCACCUUCCACUUCCAAGCAUCUAUAUUCCAUGCCCAGCUUGUAGAACUCCUUUGAAUCCAAAAAUAAUAUACGACCUUGAGCAAAAAAGAAAAAUAUAACGCAUAUCAUGUUGAAGCUUCAUCAAUUCUGAUAAAAAAAACCCCAGACAUUUACACAGACUCAUUAUAAUAUUUACUAUCCCGCAUCAAACUGCAUAUACUUCCCAUCUGUGAGCUAAGGAAACUUUAACGAAAAGCUCCCGGUACUAAAAAGUCAAUCCUAGUACUAUUCACUUUACCAUUUAUUUUGUCAUUAUCGUUAAAACUUAAAGUUUUCAAGUCAUUUUUAUUAGUUUUUCUUUAUUGUUAUGCUAGUUAUGUUAUUAAAAAUAUAAGGGCCCGCAUGAACCAAUUAGAUUCUCUUAAUCUAAUCUGACCUAAUCUAAUCCGAUCUAAUCUAUUUCCUAAUUCAUGUGAUGGAAUCUUCGACAAGGCAAGAUUCUGAGGAUCAGAAUACCCUCCUGAUUGGCCCUUCUCCAGAAAGAUAAGUUAUAAAAGUGGAGAAUAUACUAGCACAUAUCAUAUUCUAUAAAAUAUUUAAAACUAAUUAAGUUAAAAUUAUGGUGCCUAAUUGUCCGGAAUACGAUGGAAUAUUCGGAUGUGGACCAAACCAUAGUGGUAUUACAUAUUUAUUUUGUUUUAUUAUAUUAAAAAAAAAAUUGAAUGGCAAUGUGAUAAGUUAAAAAAUUAGCUCCAACCACACCUUGUCGGGUUUCUUGUGUUGACCUAGUUGGACAUGCAUUCCUAAAGCCACCACGUAUUAAUUAGAAAAUAGAGAAUUUUAACGAAAAAUUUCAUGUACUGUUUAAUUUAACGAAAAAUCAUAUUUCUACAUUAAAAAGUCAAUCAUUAUAUUAUUCACUUUACUAUUUAUUAUGUCCGUAUUGUUAAAACUUAAAGUUCUUUUUCGUUAGUUUUCAUUAGAAAAAUAAUCACCACCAAUACCAAUUUGCCAUGCAGGCAUUCAAUAAUUCCAAAUAUUGUUUACGAUAAUCUCACUUUGUUUUCUAUACAUGAAAUCUUAGAGGUUGCUCAAGAUGUUGAAAGUCUACGGUGGAUUGUCGUGGCUUCAUCACAGAUAAUCUCAUUUUUAUAUAUAAAAAAAAAACAAUCAAGAUGUUGAAAGGCUUAUGUCUCAUAUAUCGCGGAUGUGAACAUUGUGAGCAAUUAUUUUGUCGUUAAGCUAAUCUAAAUUGGUGUUUAUUGCCGAAUAAUGACGGGUAAAAGUUGAUUUACGUGUCAUGAUUAUCACGCUUAAUUUGUAGUUUUGUUUAAAGGUUUGGUGAUCUCUACAAACGAGUACAAAGUAUAGGACAAAUACUAAGGGCUUGAUUUUAGAGAUUUGCAUUAUUGUUCAUCUUCUUAAGUAUUUGCAACAAAAAAAAAAAAAAAUCUUCUUAAAAUACACGUUACAAUUUCGCUUCAAAUGAUCAGUAUAUAUAUACCAAGGAAGAAAAUAUCGGUAAUAUCGGAAAUAUCGGUAGUCCGAAAACACGGAAAUAUCGAUGGAAAUAUCGGGAUAAUAUCGAUAUCGAUAAAAAUUACAUGGAAACCACGGAAAUUGUAAGAAAAACUUGGAAAUUUUUAUUGAAACUUUGUAGGAUGUUUAUUUAGUCAAUUAUCUAUUAGUUUAUCACAAAAAAUUGGAAAGAAAUGCAUUGCAUGAUGGAUUUAACAUUAUCAAGUUGAUUAUAUAGCGAGCUGACAAACAUUGUGAGUGUAGAAAAUAUGUAGUAAUUAAUGAAAGAAGUCUAAACACACCAUAAUCAUUUAUAUAUAAUGAAUUAGUACAAUAUUUUACACUUUAUAUAUUUUACACUUUAGUACAAUAUUUUACACUUUAUACUUUAGUACAAUAUUUGGAUCAUUGGAUCAAAGAGCUAGAGACAGGUUUUGAAUUAUUUGGAUCAUUGGAUCAAAGAGCUAGAGACAGGUUUUGAAUUAUUUGGAUCAUUGGAUUCUUUUUUUUUCUCACACGCCACCACACACACAGAGAUCGAAAUUCGAGACCCCCCACACCACACACGCACACAGAGAUUGAGCUCAAUCUCUCGAUCAUUCCUUCUCUCUUCUGAGUCUUCUCCAUUCCAUUCUCCCUUCUCUAGUUCUCCCACACACACACAGAGACAUCAUCUCUCGAUCCAUCGGCGCGAUCCUCCUCGUCCGCGUUUCCCUCUCCUCAUCCCGCGACCUCUACCCCUCCCGCGACCUCUACGUCCUGGUGUUUCACGACCCAAAAGCUUGGGCAAACGCGUACAGAGCCUGCGAGUCCAAGAUCGUCGAGCAGUGCAAGGCCGGUGCCAGGAUCGCGUGAGCCAUUAGCGCAUCGGAAAAGUGUAAGCCCUGUGGUGGCGAGCUCUGAUUGGCCAGAAAGUCACAGACUUGAAUGACUUGAAGUAGAGGGAAAGUGCGAGGAGAGAGAAAUGGAGGGGUGUUUGACGGCGGCGAAAGAGAAGUGCAGCGGGUUCGCGAAGGAGAAGUGCUUGAAACCCUUCAGAGAAGCGAGGAUUGCAGGGGUGAAUGUGAAGCAGGCUGAGAGAUUGGUCUGUUGGGGGACUCUGGCGGAUCCGACUUCGUGGCUCAACUUGAUUGGAUUGGAAAAGUUGGGGGUUUUGGGUUCAGCGAUGAAUUAUAGGGCUGGUGAAUUGUUUGGUUCGGAUAGUGAGUCCCGCGAUCUCUACCUCUCCUCCGUCGGCGUCGACUUUCAAACAAUGUCGCGAUAAUAUCGCUAUUAUCGCUAAUAUCGCGAUAUUAUCUCGAUUUUUUGAUGAAAACCUAUUGGAUGUGUGUGUAAAUAUCGGACUCCGAAAAAACGAUAAUAUCGGCGAAAUAUCGCCGAUAUUAUCGAUUUUUUAUACCCUGAUAUAUACACACACACACGACGUGUUGAUAUGUCAGUAUUUCACAAUAAUUUUCCGUCCAAAAAAGUCACCCAAACCCUAAUCCAUAAACUCAACUUGAUACGUGGUGGAUUUAUUGGAAAACACUAUACAUAUGUACGCACAUGUUUUUGAUGUACAUCUACCAAACUAUUUUUUAUUUUUUUUAAAGGGACUAGCGGGUUGUUUCGCCACAACAAUCUACCAUUUCGAGGGAUCGGAAAGAUUCAUAGAGAAAUUUCAAUAUUCCAUGACCACCAUCGUGUGAUUCACCAGUGUUAGAAAUCGAAUGCAAGAUGUGCCACGCAGAAUACGGGUAUGAAAUUCCAUCCAUCAAACCAUUAAGUUUUCUCAUUAUCUUUCUUCUUUGGAGCGAAAGAACAAGGAAUAAUCGCAUGAGGUUUAGUCUCGACGCAACCACAUUUUCGAUGUUUAAUUUGGGGGCAACAAUGGCCAAACAGAAAAGAUUUGAGCAGAUCAACAUCUGUGAAUUACAAAAAGAAAACAUCUGUGAUUUUGCUUAUUUUCUUGGGUAGGAAGAUUUCUCAUGGGUCAAGAUUAAUAUUUUGUUCCCACUUUUAUAUUUUUUUGGAAGACUUUGAAGUAAAGAAGAAUAUUAUUCCCCUUCCUCUUUGAAGUAAAGUUGUCAAUAAAGCUACAACUCCUUCCUCAAGUAAUAUACCUAUGAAUAGACCAAUCCUUCUCACCAAACCUUGUUUUAGUGUCUGACCAGUUGGACAAAUUCAGAUGUGGAAUAUUAGUCACUUGUACGAUGAAGUAAUUAUCACGUUAAUGAUUCGUUUGGUUUAAUUAUCACGUUAACAAUCUAUUUGGUUCGUAAAAUGCGUUAUCGUUACGUGAUGAAAUCUAACUGUGAAAUCAAUUUUUAAGAGCCCAUGUAAACAAAAUUUGCCGGUAAAGGAAAUGAUGCCCAAGAGUUUUUAAAUCAUGUCGAGAUAAACUAUGUAUUUUGUGCAUCAACAUAAGUCACCAAUAUGUUUGUGUAUAUAUAUAUAUAUAUUCUCCUCGCAUCCAGAUAACUCAAACCAGCCAAAGUCGUACGUAUCGUUAGACUUCCAUAUUCACUGUCAGCUUAGAAACCUACCAUUCAAAAGCCAGGCUACACAUAUCUACAUACACAUAUAACAAACAAUAUAACAGAAUGUUGUGAUUGGCGUGAUCGAGCCUCUGAAUUUUUUUAUUUGGUUUGCUUCCAACUUAUGUAAUAUAAAUUUAUUCAACUUCAAGAACUUUCACUGUCAUUGUCCCACAUCCAACACCUCUACAUAUUCAAACUUCAUGAAACAACAGGAGGGAAAAACAAAAGGGUAAAAAGAAAAAGUCAGAAUAAUUGGUGUGGUAAAUCAGAAACGACUCUACAAGGCUGGUUACAAAAUUUUUACACCAUUCUCACAUUCUAACAAAUCUAAACCACAGGGGAAGCAGGGGUGUGAGUGGAGGAUGACGUAGCAGUCGAAUUGGAGUGACCGCGGCCUUCGCUGUGGCUGACCCUUUCGUCUGAAUGAAAGGGUUUGGGUUGCUUUGGCCGCGGUCUUUGAAUUGGUGGUGAGACCUGUGUGACAGCAGGAGUUGAAGCCAAGGGUGCAUAUAUUCCAUUGGCUGCCUCCCCAGAAGCAGUGGUUGCUGCCAUUGCUGCGUACUCCUGGGGUGGCACCCAAAUGCCUCCCACAACCACAAAUUGCGGUGCUGGUGCGCCGCUGUUACUGUUGCCGUGCAUUGUUGGAGUUGGUCUUCGAGUAUGUAAACGAUAUUUCUGCGAACAACAAAACAUGAUCGAAAUUAGACUCUGACGAAUCGGCUAAAUGAAAAUUCACAAUUUGUUAAUGAUUCUUCAAGAUAACGCAUGCUUCUUAUGUCACUAUUUUUUAAGGACAUCCACGCCUGCUUGCACAUAGAGAGGCACCUAAUUAAAAUUCAUCACUAACAGCAUGCAAAAUGAUUUCCAAUUUCUGUCAUGUAUGUGUAAAAUUUUAUUCACACCAACCAAAUUAUGAUUAAAAACAGAUGGAUAAUCACAUAUACAAACCUGCAAAUGGCUUUUGACUUCAUCAUUAGUAAGCCCAUCAACCUUCAUUAACUCUCUAAUUUGUUUUGGUGUAGCAGCUGCAAGAAAAAAAACCAAUCACAUAACGCAUUAAACACACAUCCAAUACAUCCCAAUCCAAUCAGAUAUUCAUCCAAUCAUAUAAAAUAACAUAUCCCACUAAAUUAAUCUCAACUGCAUACCAUGUGAACCACCAAGCUGUUGAAGAGCAUGCAAGAACCGGCGGUGCAACUCCGGUGACCAGUUUCGCCUUUGUUUCCUCUGACCUUGUCCAUCUUUCUCUUCUUUCUUGUUGCUCCCACCACUGCCUCCACUCGCGGUGUCCGUGGUGGAACUAGUAGCCGGAGCCGAAGAAGGUUCUUUAGCCACCGGUCCAUUUGUCUUUCCAAUGCUUUUUUCCCUUUGGAAAGGCUGAAAAGCACCCCCAUUUCUCUUCACCUCCAUUACUAAAGCCUUUCUAGGCAAUUCCUGCAAUUACCAAACACCCAAAAAUCAAUACUUUCCACUCCUCCACCUCAAAUUUUAUAAGCAACCAAAUAAAAGGGCAGUCACAAAAUUCAAUAAAAUUGAUGAAGGUGGAGUCCUUUUUUUAUACCUCUUUGAGUGGUGCAUCUGGGGUUGUAUUCCACAGCUGUACAGAUCUAAGCCAGUCUGGUUUUUUCUUAUCAUCCUUCUCAGUGUCCUUAGCCUCCUGAGACUCUUGAACUUCAUCCUCAUCACUGUCUGAAGAUGAAAUCCGUUUUAAUGGAAUGAAUUCCUCAAAAACAUGCCCCUCACUUGAAGUCUGCUCAGAACACUCAGAUUGUCCAUGCAGGUAAUCGGCGGUUGUAUCUGAAAUCUGCUGCCUGCACCUCUCAAUAGCUACCCAAAAAAAAAUCCAAUUCAGAAAACAAAAACCAGAACAAUUCAAGCAAAAGAAACGAAGUUUCCGACUCAGAACACAAAAAUUAAGCUGAAAUUUGAAAAGGGUCUGUGUUCUCCGUAGUACCUUGGGUGACAAGCUCCAAGCAGAGAGGGAGCUCCCUCUGGAAAACUUGAAUCUUAUUCCUCUCCUCCUCCAAAGCCUUGACAUACUCACGGAAACCCAACUUUGCAGAAGUCUGCAUUUCCUCUGUGGACUCCAUAGCUGAAAAGCUUUUGGCUUUUUCCUAUUUCUUUUUCCUUUUAUCUUCUGGGGUUCUGGGUUUUCCAGAUCUUCUGUCCUUAUCUUGGUUUUUGGGUGGAAUCAAAACUGGGGCGUGAGAAUGUGGGAUGGGUGGGAUUAUAAGGGAGCAGGUGGGUGUGUUGUGGGUGUCCAGAGCAUAGAUAGAAACGAACAAGGAGAAUUGGAGAAGGUGAAAGCGUCUUCUCAAAGACGCAUAUGGGAUCUAAGCAGAAUCAGAAAACGGAAUAAUCUUUGCACACCAAAACCCAACAAAAACAAAUAAUUUAUUUAAAAGAAAACAACAAAAUCGAGUUUCUUUCUGGAGAGAUAAAAUUAGAAUUAGAAACCCAGAAAAAAAAAAAUUUUGAAUUUUUUAAGGGUUUUCAGAGAAAGAAAGAGAAGGAAAGAGAGCGGUCGAGGUCGUGGCGUCGCGUACAAACACGAAUCUGUGGUUUCGGGGAAUUUUAUUUCCUAAAUAGUUUUGUUUGGAAAGAAAGUAGAGGGUUGAAUAUUCCACGGUAUAUGUGUUCUGAUUCUCCUUUCUUUAUCCUAUAGGUAGGCGAUGACGUCAUCACCUCUCACACCUACUUUAUUUUUAGGUCUAAAGGAUUAUUGUCCCGCGUGGUGAUACGAUGGUCGGAAGACAGGCCAUAUAUUUUAAAAAAUUAGAAUUUAAUCUUCUGAACAGAGUUAGGAUUUAAGUUCAAAAUUGAAAAAUUUUGUCUACUCUUUUAAUUGUUAGCAUGUGAGUCAUAAAUCUAAAGCUAAAACAGAACUCUCCGUUAAUUGUUAGCAAGUGAAGUUUAAAUGUGAGACUAACGUUAUCUUUUUAGCCUCACAUGUGAGGCGCAUGUGCUAAUAACUAAUGGAAGGUUACAGAAUCUUCAAUUUUGGGUUUAAAUGCUAACAGACUUUAGCACUCUGCUAUCUUAUGACUACUUUAUUACUACAGAGACGGUUAAUCCAAUCAAAUUAGGAAUUGUUAUUAGCACUCCAAAAAUUUCAUUCUACACUCAAAACUUUCUAUAUUAGGAAAGAAAAAUACACUUGUGAGGAGUAUAAAAUGAGAUUUUUAGAGUGCCAAUAACAUUUCUCUUUUUAUUUGUCUUGUUUAAGUUUUCAAAUUUAGAAAUACAUGACUAUUUGUCUAGCGAGACCGACACUCGCAGCUUGAUCUGAAAAAAUUUUGUUAUCGACUUACACGCUUGUGACGAUGAAUUGGUUUUAGGGAUCAUCUCACUACUUCCAAAAUUCAUACUAAAACGUCGAGAAAGUAUAAUACUUUCCUCUCCAAUAAACUAUGAAACUCAAAAAUAAAAUCAAAGAGAUUAUAUUCACACACACUCCAAAUUACUUCUCUCACAUAUUUUUAAUAUUUUUUUACAUAUCAUUAACACUUAAUAGAAAAAUAUUAAAAAAAUUAAAAAUAUGUGGAAGAAGUAAUUUACGAUGUGUGAAUAUAAUAUUUCUAAAAUUAAAUUUGAGUUUUGAGUGUUUGAGUUUCCAAUUCACACAUACAAACCAUCAAAUUCGAACGUAAUAUUCCUCGAUGUCCUUGUUGCGGGUGCAUUAACAAUUUACUGUAAAAGUAUAUUCGUCGAUAUCCUUUUAUUAGAUAAGAACAAAAGAAAAUUCAAGCAAUUUAUUUUAAUUUUGUCUAUAUCUAAUUUUAUUUUUGGACUAUUGGCAUUGUACCGCUUUAUCCGCUCGGUAAUUGAUGAAUAUUCUAGAUAUUUAUUUGGGGAUGGAACUUGCUGCUGAAAAAAUCAAUAGCAACUCUUGUUGAUAACGGUUGCUGAUGACUAAUCACAAUUGAAUGCGUGUUCAAGUUAUAAUUAAAAAAUCAACAAUUUGGAUAUUUAUUCAACUGUGAUUGGUCAUCAGCAGAGAUUGAUUUUUUAGUAGCUAAGUUCCAUCUUUUAUUUAGGAAUAUAUUUUCUUGCUCUUCCGAAUAUACCCCGGUCUUUUGCGAUACCAAAGGGAAUCUUCAAAUUCGUGACGCGAGGGAAAGGGAGAGCGUGCUUUCACACGCGCUCCCACGACGCGUGUGAUUAGGCAUCCAUGGAUGUGGCCUUUCGCGUCCUCUGAGGGCCAACGGCUUCUCAUCCUCAUCCGCACCGCCCUCUGUUUACGCUAGGUUUCAUCAAUACUGCCUUCACGCGCUUCUGUCAGGGCGUGCUAGUUGCGGGACCAAUGGGAUUUUGACACGUUCGGAUUCUGUUUAGACGGAUCGAGAUUCUGGAUGGGCGGCAGGGGAUUCCAUGGAGCUGUGCGCUCAGAUUCUACAGGCGGCUUAAUAUUGCUUGGGCUGGGAUAAAAAUAGCUCCUCACAAAUAGGCCCAACACACUUGGACCAAAAAAUAAAUAAAUGUAGCAAUAGUUCCUUGGUUGGUGCUUGAGAUAAUUCAGAUUCUCGCCGCAUCCUUUUUGUAAAAUUUUUGAGAAUUCAUCAAUCUUGUUUACUAAUCGUACAUCGUGCGGUUAUAAAUUAUUUUAAAUAUUUUUAUUUAAAAUUAAGCACAAACAGUACUUGACAAAAUUUGACCGCACGAUGUACGAUAAACGGAUACGAUUUACGAAUUCUUAGGAUCCUCACCAAAAGGAUCCGGAGAGGAUCGUGUUGGGUAUUUUUUGUCAAUUUGUUUCAAUUUUUAAUUUUCUAUAAUUUUUUAGGGACGAAGUAGGCAAGAUUACUACUAUGGUUGGUUAUCAUAAACUAAAAUCGAAUAUUACUACUCGUCAACUUCGUAAAAAUUUUUUUGCCAAAAUAACGGAAAAUGAGAAAUCUUGAAUAAAAAUUGCUUUAGCCCAAUUGAUAUGGCUCUCUAGUCCCGACAUGGAUAGUUGGGUGAGUAAUUUUUUUCUCUCUAAACUUUGAUUCUUGAUGUGUUUACUUACUUAAAACAGGAAGAAUCCUAAACUAAAGGAAGGAAAAGAAGUAAUGGGUAUGAGCUAUAUUUCAUAAUAUUUCAGGUAUGGUAUUACGGAUUUUUCUGGAGAACCCUCACUUUGUUUGAUUCGUAUGUCAUAUUAUACACAGACAGUGCUAGUAACUAAAAUAAAUUCAAUACCCAUUUUUUAGUUAACACAUGAAGUCAAUAACUAAUAUAAUUCAAUAUCCAAUCUUUAACUAAACUUGCCAUAACAUUAAAGUUGCAAGAAGUGAUGCAUAACCUCAUUGCCAUGUGAUCAACGUGAAGGAUUCUGAAUUUUGUGGACAUCAAAUCUUUAAAUCAAAUCAGCAGAAGAUAAAAAAUUGAUAACUUUUUUCUUUCCAUCACUUUUUUGGAAAACAUUGGGCUUAAGCUUUUGUUGUGUGACACAAGUUUAUAAAUGGAACCCCACAAAAGGGCUGCCCAAGUACAAAAGAAUCUCAUCAACCCAAAAUUAACAUAACAUGUGUUGUAAACACCUCCAAAUUUAUAAACAUUGAUUCAAAUUUGACUUUGGGUUAAAGGUCAAGUUUGUCUAUUGGUUUAAAUCAAUAACUUGGGUCUUAGCUUUUGAAAUGACCUUAGUUAAAAGUUUUAUUAUAAAGUUAUAAACAUUGAAAUUAAGUUUGAUAUAAACUUGUAACUAACUUGUAGCUCAAGUCGUUAAAUGCAUUCAUCUCGUAUUCAAUUUCCACGCCCUAUAUCACUUGUAUUAAGAGCAUCUCCAAGGGACUAGACAAUUGUUUGAGGUAUAAUUGAACUUUGUUGGUGCUGUUACAUUUUGCCUAGUUCAUUUGCCUAAAAUGUCUACCUCUUAAAAAGAAAACGCAAAAUAGAUAAGACAAUUCUUAAUCUAUUUUGCCUCAUGAAACUCCCCUAGGUAGUUUUGCUUAGGCAUUUGCCUAAUCCCCUGAAGUUGUUGAUGCACAAAACCGGAUGGGUCUUGGAACAACGUAAAUCCGACCGUGAAUCUGCAAGAAAGUAAAGAACACAAGAUGUAUCGUGGUUCAUCCCAAUGUUUAGGCUACGUCCACACUGAUGUUGAUUGUAUUUCUCUGUAACUGUAUGUAUGAAUUACAAGUGUGAGGGGAGUCCCCCAGAGAAAGAGAGAGUCUGAGAGAGCUUUGCUCUGAAUAUGAGAGCCUCUGUUUGGGGAUGUGAGGCUUGAGGAUUGUGAGGGUGAGGAGUCCCUUUUAUAGACUAAAGGCUCCUCCCCUUUUACAUAGAUCAUGGGCUCAAUGUUAGGAAACCCAAGUAACGAGGCCCAACAUAAUAUGGUACUAACAGAAGUCACAUUUUACUCACGUGGCGUAGGAAAUCCAAUUUACCUUGCCUAGUGCUUUGGAGAUGCUCUUAUCUGUUUUCACACGCUCAAAAUAAGAAUUUACUGAUCAGAAAUUUCAAAUUUAAACAUACAUAGUAACGCAUAGAGAUCCAUGUGUGCGGUGAGUCAAAAAUCAAAUCUUGAAUACUGAAAGGAUGGAGCUUGGACUGGACUUGAACAGUAGUUACUACUAGAGGGAGGGAGAGAAAGAGGGGAGGGUGGGAGCUCAUCACUCAGCUGGGACCUGUGACAAAUCAAUGGGGGCGGCUAUGAAGUCUGAUGAGAUAGGCACUGUUGGCUUUUCCCAGUUUCCUUUUUCAGACAAGACGAAGGUUUUGGAAAUUUUUACUUUGUCUUUCCUGCGUUCCUAGUCUCGCAUACACAUAUUUUGCAAGGCAAUGCGAUGCGUGACCAACACCUUUGUCUUUUUAACUCCUUAGUAUAUGUCAUUCAACAACAAUCGUUCCUAGCGACUACAUCCACUACUAUAUAUAGACAUACAUCCCAUUCAAUAGAUAUACAUAAGAUUUAAUUCUACAUGGACUAGAGACAAUGACGCCUCUAAAAUUAUUGUUUAUAUGAGAGAAUCUCUCCCCUGAAUUAGGAUAGACCAUUCAUGACUUCUAUAUUAAUUGAAGGCAAAUGUUGUUUUGCCUUAUAUUUAUUUGAAUAUUUGGUUCAUAUUAAUAGGCAAUCGAAUGAUAUAUUAUGGUGCUAAUUCACCAUAAUAACUAUCUUUCUAAACUAUGAAAUUGUAAGAGACUUAUAACUAAAAUGGUUUAGAGCAUUUAACUUUGAACCUGAAGUGGUGUAUUUAAAACUACGAUUCCAUUUGUAUUAUGAAAAGGAAAAUGGGUAUCUAUAAGAAUGUACUUGCAAUAGCAUAUUAUAGGCUUAAUAGGUAGUCAAAAUCCAUUUUGUACUAAUCUUGUUAAAUCACAAGGCAAAACGGCAAAGAUUAAAAGUGGUACGGGAAGUUUCUGUAAUUCGAAUCGAACCCACAUGCAGGCACUUAACUUUGUCUCAGAGAAGUAUCUGAUGAACCAUCAAUUAAUCACCAAAACAAAGUUCAUGUUCAAAAGUAAGCACCAUACAUAUAAUAAUAGUGAUCUAUAUAUUUAGCUUGGACUCCUACGCCUCUCUCUCUCUCUCUCUCUCUCUCUCUCUCUCUCUCUCUCUCUGCUUGCCUAGCCAUGCAUGCAUGCAUGUUUUCGAGCACACAAAUUUUGUCAAUCGAUUAGUCAUCUCAGGAUCAUGGAUCCAGUGCUAGUGGGUUUCUUAAUCCUGAUAAGAAAUUAAAGGUGGAGCUAUAGGGAAACCUAGUACUUUUUUUACCGGUCCUUUUUUGCCAGUCCUUUGCCGUGGGGUUAUGUGGACGGGAAGGAUCGAUCACAGGGCCGGCCCUGAGGGUGUGCCAAGAGUGCGACCGCACAGGGUCCCCGAUUUUUAGGGACCCUUGAAUUUUAAUAACCUUUAUAAUGUACUACAUAUAAAAAAAGUGUGAACAUAGUUCACAUUGUUGCCUUAGGGGAAUUGUCAAGCACUGGUACUUAAAUUUGUGUUUGCAAAGGUUCAACUCCUAGUAGAACCAUUUUGGGCCUUUUUUGAACUACAUUAAUUUUUUCUUUUCUCUUUAAUAUUUAUAGUUUAAUUUCUAUCAUUAUAAAAGAGAACUUUUGAUGAUAAAUCUAUGAUUAGGAAUAUCAUAAUUAAUUAAAAUCCUUAAAAGUUUGAAGAUAUAAUCUUUAAAACCCCUUUUCAUAUAUGACAUCACUUAAUCGAAUACAUGUCGUUCGUUUAUUCUUUUGGUUAGCUUUUAAGGAUAAUCUAAUUUUCAUCAUAUUUAAAGACCAUUUAGUCAUCCAUAUAUAAUACAACUUUGCUCACAACACUAAAGUGGAGGUGAGCAGGUGAUGCCCAUCCCCUAUUGAUUACCGUUAGAUUAAUUUUGUUUAAUUGAUUUAAGACACGAAUAUCGAAUUCUAACUAAUCUAACGACAAUCAACCGAGUGGUGGUUAAAAUCAUCCUCAGUUCAGGGAGUGAGAAAAAAUGCAAUAAAAAAAACUAACAGUUCAUUAUAAGAUUCUACAAAUAUCAUAACCAGUUAUUUGUUUACCUAGCUCAUUAUAAAGAGUAUGAGUUGUUCUGAUUAUGAUAUAUGUACAGUCAUAUGAUAUGUACAUAGCCACCACACCAUGCUUUUUGUAUUUAAAAAGUAAGAAGUUUCAAACCCAAAAACAUAAAGAAAGUAGAUACAUAGCCACCAAACCAUACUUCUUUUUUAUUUAUUUUCUUUUGCGUUUAUAUCAAUUUAUACACAAGAAAAAAGUAUAAAAUAUAAUAGAAAAUAUAGCAACCAAAAUUUAGACCUUGUAAGGGCCUCCGUUUGAGGAAAAUAUAGCAACCAAAAUUUUGACCUUGUAAAGGCCUCUGUUUGAGUCUUGUACAGGGUCUCCAAAAUCUCAGUAUCGGCCCUGAUUGAUCAUGGAGCUUCGGGAAGUAGCACGAUGAUGGAUUUGUUUUUUUAGGAAAACUAAUGAAAAUGGCUUGAAAAUUUUGAGUUUUAAUGAUAAUGACAAAAUAAAGGGUAAAGUGAAUAGUUUUAGGUUUGACUUUUUAGUGUAAAAAUUUGAUUUUUCAUUAAAGUGAACAGUACCGUAAGUUUUUCGUUAAAACUCUCUUAUUUUUUACUAUCCGGGGUGUUUUUAUCUUUUUUUCUUGUCAAUUUCUUUCAUGUCUGAAGAUUGAUGGGAUGGUUUGAAUUACUCUCCAUCUAAACUUCCUGUCUUGGGAGGUAUCCAAUCAAACUAUGUUACUGCUGCUGCACCAAUAUUGUUCUGGUUGGCCCCUUCAUUGUUUUGUACAAAAAAUUGAUACGUGUUAGACGAAGUCAACACUUAGCAUUAAAGUGAAACACCUGAGUUCCUAAGUUUUACAGAGAUUAGCUAAGUGUUGACUUCAUCUAACAAUACGUAUAUGGUACAUUAACAUAUAAGGUCAGUUCGUAAUUACUGUGUUUUUAGUUUUGAAUUUUUGUUCUACGAAACAAAAGAAAAGUAUAUGAGAAAAUAGAGUGAUGGGAAAGAAUAAUGGGAGAUGAUGGGAAAGAAAGGGACAAAUGUAGAAACUAUAUAUAUGCUGAAAUUGAAAAUAACUUAAAAUUGUUUUUUAGUUUUUUAUUUUUAUUUUCAUGUCGUACACCAUUUUAUUCCUCAUUCUUUCUACAUGUUUUUUAAAAAUAAAAAUAAAAUCCUACAGCACAAAAAUAAAACACUACAAACUAAGAACGAAAUGCUUAUUAAACCCGUGUCCCUCAAAUAAUUUGACUGAAAAUAAAUGGGGUGUUGGCCGUGAACGUAGCUUUUUUUAAAGUAGCUAGCAUGUUGGAAUGAGAAACAAACUGUUGACACACUGAGUUUGGAGAUGCCAAGACAAAAAAUUGUCUCAUAUAUCUUCACUUUCUGUUGAACAUUGAGAUUUUGCACAUAUAUGUACCACGAUGGCACUUGUGCAUGGAUAUUGUCUGAGAUUCUAAUUGAAAAAUGUAUAUAAACAUAGUAACCAGUAGUACUAUAGUUGAAUGAAAUGUUACUUUUAAGAAGCUGGGUAGGGUGUCAAGUGAGCUCUUUUUACUUUCUUACAGUGCAGGUGACUUGCCCUUAAAGAAAAACAGUACCACCCAUGACAGAUUUUUCAUUUUCCAAAUUUUACUUUAUGUAUAUACUUUAAAAAUAUAUAUAUAUAUAUAUAUAUUUUUUUUUGAAAAUUAAAAUGGUAGUAACCCUUUCCAUUUUCCACCAAAAUUAAUAAUAUUCGUAUUAUUUGGCACUAUCACUAUCACUAUCACUAUCAUCAUCUCUUUUAAUAACAAAAGUUGGGGAGAUAAACUCACGCCUUCACAGUCUACAGUUCUCCAUGUUUGCAUACUGUAUGCCAAUAUAUGUGUGCAUUUCCAUAUAUUUAUCUUUUUAACUCUCUCUACUUUUGGACUGAGAGAGAAAGAGAGAGAUUAUAUAAGGGCAGAAGAUGAAUAAUGCAUAAAUAAAUGGACAGAGAGAGAAAGAGAGAGAGGCAGAAGAAAAUUACAGAGCCAAGCUAAGGUAUCGGGAAUCGACCAUUAGGGUUUUGGAGAAAAGUGAUGGGGGAAAAAGUAUGGAGUGGUAGUGUUUUUGUGUUCUUUGCCACUACCACUGCUCUCCUCCUUUGCCGGUUUUUGUCUCCUCCAUUCCCAAACACGCCAAAACCCAAACAUCUCAUCUCAUAUUAUUUCCUCCCUGCUGCUUUCCAAUCCAACCCAGUGCAGUCCACGUGCAACUUGCAAACUCCCCUCUCUCUAGCAAUUUUUCAAUGUACGAGUAACACCGUUGCAUAAUGCUAUAGUUGGACUCAAAUUGUAAUACUUUGAAAGUUGACAUAUCAAUUACGUCACUCAUCCAAUAAUCCAAUAAUACGUGGAAAACUACAUCACGUCAGUGACAAGUGUUGCAGCUACAUACAAAAAUUUAACCUUUGUCUCUCUAUCUUCCUCUUGCAAUGUCACUAAUUUGAUUAAUUUGAAAUUGAUAUUAUCCUGAGCCUGAAAUAGUGAAUUCCAUCGUUUAGGUUUAGGAAUUUGAAGAGUGCUAGCCUGAAAUAGAUUUCAUAUUAAGUAUUAAAUUUUAAUAUAAUGUGCGACCUAAAAAAGGGAAAUUUCAAGAAGGGGAAAAACCCCACCAAAUUUAUAACCAAUGAAAGCAAGUUUGUCGGCUAAGAACUUAUUUGCCGACAAAAUAUUUCAUCGGCUAUAACAUUAAGUUGUCGGAAAAAGUUCGCGCCAAAACUUUAGCCUUGGCGCGUGUUUAGCCGAGCAAGCAAAAAAUUCGUCAGGUGAAAGUUCUUUUGCCGACAAAAUAAUUUUGUUGGCUCAAAAUUCGUCGGCAGAGCUGGAUUUUCUGGCAGUGUAUAUACAUAAUAAACAUGGUUUCUUUAUUUAUUGCCUCUCUCUAGCCCCCACUUCCCUUCUCCACCAAAAGCCCAAAAUCUCACCCCUCUCUUUCUCUCUCUCAUAUAAACAAAUAAACAAAAUCACCACCACCAUGCAAACUCCCUUCACUACUACUACAAUAGACGAAGAUUUUCAGGAUGAGGACUCCAUUUUUCUUUCUCUUGGUCCUCCUGGACAGGAUGUCCCCAAACAGUACCACCUCAUCUACCACAACCAAUCUUCUUCCUCAACUCAACCUGAUCACCAUCGAACUUUUUAUCAUGAUUAUUCAAACCCUAAUCCUGAUCCCGAGGACGGCACUAUCACAGUGGCUCUUAACAUUGAGCCACCGAGUGGUGGAGGCGGUAGACCGAGCUCAUCAUCCAUCAGCAAACCUAACCACAACCACAUUGGCGGUCCUGUGGAAGGCCAGUACUGGAUUCCCUCCCCUGCACAAAUCCUCGUAGGCCCCACCCAGUUCUCUUGCCCUGUCUGCAGCAAAACAUUCAACAGAUACAACAACAUGCAGGUAGUACUCAUCAUCAUCAUAAUUAAUAACACACAAAUCCAUACCACUACUAGUAGUUCAAUACUAACACUGCCUCUUGUAUAUUUUCAGUAUUUUGGUUUCUCUACUGCGAUCCUCAUGAUUUUUUGUGUUCUAGGAACACAAUUUUGUCAAACACUUGCACAAAAAUUUGAUUAUAUCUCCCUUUUUUUUUUUCAAUUUUUGCUUUAUUUCCACCCAUAAUUGUCAUCAUCAAGCACUCCAAAAAUCACGAAUUAUGAGUGGAAUCAUAUAUCUAUAUUGCCCUGAUUUACAGAUUUUUUUUUUUAAAUCAAACACUUGUGUUACAAUUUGUUUAUUUCACUUUUUUUUCUUUCCCGAAAUUUUGUUGCCGUUUAUUUCCGCUCACAAAUUGUCAUCUUGCAUUUCAAAAUCACCAAAAAAAAAAAAAAAGUUGAAUCAUCAAUCAAACAUUUUCACCCUAAUAUAUGUAUUUUGUUUAAUUUGUGUUUACCCUCUAAUUAUUUGUAUGUAGAUGCAUAUGUGGGGUCAUGGAUCACAAUACAGGAAGGGACCUGAGUCUUUGAGAGGGACAAAACCAGCAUCAUCAGUGCUGAGACUUCCAUGCUAUUGCUGCGCAGAGGGGUGCAAGAACAACAUAGAACACCCGAGGUCAAGGCCGCUCAAGGACUUCAGGACACUGCAGACACAUUACAAGAGAAAGCACGGGACAAAGCCGUUCGGGUGCCGCAAGUGCGGGAAGCCGUUUGCAGUGAGAGGCGAUUGGAGGACUCACGAGAAGAACUGCGGGAAGCUCUGGUUUUGCAUUUGUGGGUCGGAUUUCAAGCACAAGAGAUCGCUCAAAGACCACGUUCGUGCGUUUGGUGAUGGACAUGCACCUUAUGGUGUGGAGCUGUGUACUGAGCCUGAAGAAGAAGAUCACGUGGAUGACGAGGAGGACGAUAACAAUGACGAUGAUUUGGUUAUUAAUUAGUUAAUUAAUACACUUACUUGGUGUUUAACUUUUGAAUUAGUUAGCUAGCUAGGUAAAAUUAAGUAAUUAGGGUUUUAGUUAAUAGUGAGUGAUGGGACUGUGACUGUCUCUAGCUUGUUUGUGAGAGAGUGAGGGAGUGAGAAGAUGAAGACAACAAACAAUACAGUGAAAAGCCAAGGUUCUAUGCAUUUAAUCUUGGAAGUGCCAGUUCAAUCCUUUAAUUAACGUACGUACCUUUUCUGAUAACUUAUUUUAAUUAUUUUUUGAAAAAAUAAAAUACUUGUUGAGAGAGAGAGGGAGGGAGAGGGAGAGGGAGAGCGAAGGUGGUCAAGUAAAUUCAGUGACUACAGAACACAGAGAGUAGGGCAGUGCAGUGCAGUGGAGUCACAGAUUCUACUGUUCAUAGCUUUUACAUUUGGAGAGACAUCUAGUGAAAAAAGAAAUGCUAAAAAAAAUACGCCAACACUUGGAUCGAACGAUCAAUGAGUCCGUCGAUAUGUUGUCAGUGAGGGGUAAGUUUUUGGGACCACUGAAAAAAUUGCAGUAUUUGGGGUUUCACUCAAGGGUUCUCCUUUUUUCUUUUCAGAACAACUACAAACAGAUACUACGAAACAUUUUCAGACUCCUGUGGUGUGAGCUUUGCCCUUUAACCCUGUCUAUCAAUUUUCUGCAUGCAUAAAAUGGGACCUUUUCCCUCCUUUCUUACUACUCUCUCAUAAUUAUCACCCUUUUUUCUUUUGUCUUUUCAUCCUUUCUUAAUUUUUUUCCUAUCCUUUUUCGCUUUUUUAUUUAAUAUAUAUAUAUAUAUAUAUAUAUACGCGGCUGCCAUGCAACUCAAAGCCCGCAUAUGGAUCACGCGACUGUUAAUUUAAUCAGGUUGUGAUCGCUAAUUAAUUAUAAUUUGUGUCCGUGUGCAGCUUGUAUGCAUGGAGAGAUUAUUCAGUAUGACCGUCAUAUAAGGUGGUACUUCAUGUGUUUUUAUAUUAAUGGUAAAUUAUAUGUGUUAAAAGGUUAAUAACUUAAAAAUUAAAACUUUCUAUCACUUGCAUAAAAACACAUGGUGUAUCACUCGUGUUCCGUCACAAUUAAAAAUUUCUUGUAUGCGUGAUGCUAGGGUUACAAAAGUUAAAAACAUAAGGACCAGUUGACCAUUGGUUCUUGAAUUUUCUUCUACAUAAAUUAAGGGGCUUGGUCUGGAUCUUAAUUAACAUCUUUUGUAAUGUAUGUUAAUAAGAUAUGAGUUUUAGAUCUGAGGCAAUUGAUACAGUAAUUUAAACUUAAAAUCUCAGUCAGUUUCUUUCCAUGUGUGAGCCAAUCGGUUGCUCGUUGCUUUUAAUAUUGCUUGCACGUAAUAUUUAAUUGAGUAAUGUUAGGGAGAUUAAAUUUGUAAACUAAAUUAGCAAACCAAAUGAGGUGUCAUCAAUAGAAAAUAAGCACAUUUAUCAACGAUUAAGUAAUAAUCAAAUUACCAACUUUCAUAUCAUUAGGUUACAAGAUUUAGUCUAGCAUUCCUUUAUUUAAUUCUUCUUAAACCUUUUUAUGUCUGUUUUGUGUCUGCAAAUAUCCGUCUUCGGAAACGCGGCCCCCCAUCAUAUUCAUAAUACUGCUAUUAGCUAAAAGACUCGAACGACUUGUACAGCAGUUCAGGCAAUUUUCUAGUGGUUAUAUAUUGCUGUACAUGUAUUGUUAUGUAUAUAAAAUGUAAACUAAUACUGGAUAUUACCUUGCCUGAAAGUUAAAGAUAAACUUGUGCUAUUCAAAAGAUGAGUAGGAUUUUUACUCAAGGAUCGCCUCUACAAAAGAAUUAAUUAAAAUUAAGGUCGUUCAGUCAUCGAAGUCAUCCGAGCGAAUUUGAUAAAAGCAUCACAAACCAUCUAUGUGUUUGCUAUAAUAGAUUAAAUGACCUUAGUUUUAAUUUAUUUUUUUUGCAAAGAUGAUCUUUACAAUGUGAUUUAUAAUUAAUAUGAGGCGUUUUUGAUCGAUCAUAAGCACAAUGCUCUUUAAUUUGAACACGAUGAGUUUUGAAUAUGAAUUCCUAUUUAUUUUUUUAGUAGCCAAGCAUUGUUCAAUAGAAAAAAAAAAGUUUAUUUUCCCAGCUGGUUACAGUUGUUUUAUGUAAUAAACAGCAGGUUCUGGUUCAAAAAGAUUUUCUGGGCAAGCAAAAAAAGACUGGUUUGGUUGAGUACUUUGGAGCAAAUAAUGGGGAUUCUCAUAUGGCCAAGUACAAAAAGUGAUAGUGUGUGUAUAUAUAUGGGGGUGUGAUAUCCACACACCUCAUUUUAUUUCUCAUACACCCUUCUAAUUUUUGACCGUCGGAUCGGAUGAAUUGAAUAAGAUCAACGGAUAAAAAUUAAUAAGGAUGUGUGAGAAGUAAUUUGGGGUGUGUGGAUAGCACACCCCUAUAUAUAUAUAUAUAUAUAUAUAUAUAUAUAUAUAUAUAUAUAUAUAUAUAUAUAUAUAUAUAUAUAUCUGUGUGUAUAUUACAGGCUGAGGAACUGAGCUUGCUAGCUUGUGAUGUAUCAGAUGUAAUUAGAUGCGCAUGCAAACAUGAAUAAGAAGAAGCAUAGGAGCGUCCGGAUGCUGAGCAAUAAGAACCAUUUCAGGUUAAAAUUUCAUUGAUUUUUGUUAGUUGAAUACUUGAAUUAUAUCUGCCAAGGCGACUGGACAUUAAACCCAACGUACUAGAUCCAUGUGAUUUGUACAGACUCUUUGCAAGUCACUGGUCGAAUGUACUCAAAGAUCAAUAGUUUACAAGGUACAUGGUCGUCUAUAUUUUAGAGGUCAUGUGCGAAUUUAAUAAAAAGGUCUUCCUUUAUUUAAAAAAUAAUAAUUUUUCAGACAAUAUAUUCAUUAUUCAAACUUAAUUGAUUAGCAUGUCAUUCUUAUUAAUUGAAUAAUUUACAGUUGCCAUGAAAUUAUACUUUAUGGCUCAUCCAUGAAAGAUUGAAAAAGAGGUAUGGAAAUACACUUCUGUUUGUAAAAGAAAGUAAUAAACAAAUUAGUUUUUAAUUGCUAAAGAAAAGUGGAAGAAAGUAAUAUACAAGUUUUUUAUUGCUAAAGAAAGUGAAAAAUUAAUAUAUUUAGUAUAAGCUCCACUUAAUCAAUUGUAAUAUAAAUAAAAUCAUAUUAUGAUGCUUUUUUUUUUCAGUCAAAAAUUUUUUUAUUAGAAAAUUUAUAUCCAUAUGUAAUAUAUAGGAGGAUAAAAAAUUUGGGGCCCCUAAUUUUGCUUCAACACCUUUUGCACACCCCAACGCCCCCUUUGACAAGGUACCAUCUGUUAAGUAAUAUGCAGGAAAGAAUAUUAGCAAGAUAGCAGAGGAAGAAGAAGGAAACAGAGAAGAUUUAGAGAGAGAUAGAGAGAGAGAGAGAGAGAGAGAGAGAGAGAGAGAAUUUUAUACUUGUAUUUGCUUGAAUGAUUUGAUUACAAAGAUACUAUUUCUAUAUGGUUGGAUAUUCACUCUAUACAAAUCUUACUCAUUAAGCCACAAUCUUAUCUUCUUAUCCGAAUCUUACAAUUCCAACAAUCCUAACUACCUCAAUUGUUUAACUAACGACAUGUGUCAUGAUCCACACCCUCCAUAUCCUAUAUACUCUAACAUCCCCCCUCAAACUCAAGAUUGGGGCACCCAAUCAUGAGGUUGAAGCAGUCAGGUUCUCAAAGAAUCAUUAGUGCAAUAUUCCAUGCAAUUGGAUAGUGAGGUUGCUGCUG
rnacentral:lncRNA from 1 species